rnacentral:lncRNA from 1 species
GGGGGAGUGCAUAUAGGUGUGAAUGUGUAAUAAUACUAGUAAGUUCUACAUAAAACAUCAUUUCUAUUGUCUCAGUUUCCACCUUGGAAUGAAAUAUCUAUGAUAAAUAAUGUCGACUUACUUUCCUAAGAAAUGUGAAAAUAUCUUUUGCUGAUUUAAUGUCUGAGGAAAAGUAACCUUGUGAAGUAUUUGCAUAUGAAAAUCCAGUACCAACAGGUGCAUCUAUGAAUAUAAUAUUGGCAACCUGAAAAUUAAGAAUCAUAUUAUAAAGGUAGAAAGGUAUGGAAGACAUGCAUAAAUAAAUGACUUGAAAAAUCUAGGGAAAAGGAGAUUAUUAUACCUUAGUCCAUGAAUAUGGAUUUAGGAUAAUAGAUGGUAAGCUUCCAUCAAAAUUUUCGACAUCAAAAGUACAUGGACCUACAAACAAGCUCACCAAUUGGUGUGAGAAUAAUAGAAGUUCUAUUUAUGAAGUAUAAUUUGAGGUAUCAAAAAAAUAAUAAACCAUAUUUAAAGAUAUCAAGUAAAUCCAUCAAAACUAAUAAACCAUCAAAUCGCGAAAUGCAAACUCUAGGCUCCAACAAUUUUCUCGUUCUUGGCCGAAAAUCAGAACACACACAUAUGUUCAUAUAUAUGUUAAGUGUUGUAUCUCUAUAAAUAUUAGAAAGGAUUUGAAGGAUGCCAUUUCAUUUAUGGUCGUGUCCCUUCAUUAUUUAAGUGUUUUAUCUCUAUAAAUAUGAAAUGAAAAUGAUAUGAAACAUAACAUAAACAUCCUCAAAUUAGUGUAUAAAUGCAUAUCAAUUUCAACACUAAAUAUUCAGAAUUUUUCAAAAAAAAAAUCAUUAUUCCGUUCUUGGGUUUUCAUUGUGCUUUACUCAAAUUGAGUAAAAUGCUUGAUUAAUCCUAAAAGAACCCCACAAACCGAAAGGUAGCAGAAUAUCGCUUUCAAGACAUUAAAAAUGUUUUAGGUCCCCAUGUUUCAGAUUUUUUGUUAUCUUCACUUUUUUGGUCCUAGUUCUUGGAUUCAUGCUUCAAUGUUUCCCCCCAUCUCCUACUCUUUCAAGGUUUUCCAAAAAUUCACAUAUAUUUAUUGAAAGAGCUUACCAAUAUCAUAAAAGAAGCCAACUACACCAGAGCAACCCGGUCCACCAGUCAUCCAAAGCAAAAGAGGGUCCAUACUAGGUUUGCUUUCGGACUGAAUGAAGUAGUAGAAUAGUUGUACUUCUUCAUUUUCUCCCACGCCAAUGUAUCUAUCAGUCAUUUUAAAAAUGAGAAACAAAGUUUUGAGCCAUAUAUAUAUAUAUAUAUAUAUAUAUAUAUAUAUAUAUAUAGAGAGAGAGAGAGAGAGAGAGAGAGAGAGAGAGAGAAAGAGGGGGGGGAACUAACCCGGUUUCGAGUUUGAACGGAAGAUCACCCGAAUAACCCGGAAGAGUUUUGAUUAUCGCCUGUGAUGCUCCAUUGUUGAAGAGUAGAAGAAGAAGAAGAAGAAGAAGUCCGUACAAUCGUAUCGCAUUCAUUAUAAUCAAAACGAGAAUUUGAACUGCUGAAAAGUCUUUCAAUGCAUGUGCGAAUUUAUAGGGGACAGAAAGUAGACUGAACACGAAACAACCAAAUGGUAAUAUUCAUUACGUUGGGCUUUUUACAACCGCAACUCUGUGGACCUAAGUAGCUUUAUUCACUAAUCCGAAGAUUAUAAGGUUUUAUAAUUAAUUUCAUUUUAUAAACCCUAUUAUGGUGCCCUAACCUCCCCGAAUCGUUAAUCUUAAACGAGCAAUUUGAUCUAAUUAAAAUUCAAACGAUAACACGAAAUUCGACAUUUAUCUGCUCAAACGAGUCACUAUCUUUCGAGAUAUGUUAAGUGUUUGUUUGAGAAUUUGUAAUAAAAAAUGAUAUAUUUGAAGAAUGUAUUUAUUCAACAUACGCAUUCGUUCAAAUUUAGUGACAAAUAAAAGUCAUAGUUGUGUGUAUAUAAAUAUACAAUAUAGUUAUUGAAAACUUACUCAUCAACCAUUAAAUUAUUACAUUAUAAACAAUGUUAUUAUUCAACGUACAAAUUCAUUCGUACUUAGUGCAAAUAAAAGUCAUAGUUGUGUGUAUAUAUAUUAUUACAUUAUAAACAAUGUUUAAAAAUCAGACCUUAGUUUCUAAUAAAUAUAUUUUUAAUUAUAAUUUGAUUCGGCUGAUUUUGACUUUUAGCCCAUGUUUGAAUCUCGUUACACUACAUUUUCUUUUUCUUUUUCUUAUUUUCGACUAUACAAGUUUUCAUAAAAUAAUAUUAUAUAUAAAUCGAAAAAUUUUCCUUCUUUUACAACCACUCAUUUUUCAAAAAAAAUCCAAUAUUUCAUCCAUUUCAUUUUUAAAAAUGGGGUAUUAAUUACAUUAUAAACAAUUUAAUUGCAUGUGGUUUACUGGUUUAGUUCUAUCUGCCUAAUUUCCGGUAAUGAAACCAGUUUGACUUUUCAACCAUUGGGUUUCUUGUCGUGGUAGUAUUUGCCGCAACAAACCUUUUAAAUUAAAGACACAGAUACAAAAUAUCUUUUGCAUUAAGUGCACGUCACUGAUUGAAAACUACGUUUCUAACUGGAAAUUUUAAAAAUUACUACGUUUUCAUAAGGAAUUUUUUUUCCCAAUUUAGGAAAAUAUUAUUCUCACUCUAACUCCGUCUCUUUAUCAACUUAAUUUAUGUUUAAAUAUAACGUUAGCAUGGAAUCACGUUUUUCAAUUUGAUUAAUUUAAAAGAAAAAAAAAUUACUAGAAAAAUUCUGAUGAGAAAUGUUAGAAUAAUAAUAUUCCAUAAAAUCCUCCGUACAAUGAGUGUUAGAAGUUUGCAGUAUCAGUUGAAUAGUGUAUUGAUGGACAAUGCAUGAUUAAAAAAUAAGAAAAUAAAUUAACGUGUAAUAUUAUUUUAUUGAAUAAUGUUUAAUUAAAAUAAUGUCAAAAUACUACUUAAAAAUGCUUUCUCCAUUUUUUUAUUUUAUUUUUAUUUCAUUAUUAUUAUUAUUAUUAUUUUGUUGCAAAAAGUGAGGUUUAAACAAGGGCCCAAUGUUUCUUUCAGUCUCAUCGGAAGUACAUAAUUGAAUCCUAGUCAUUUUCAUUCACCCACUACCACGAGUGAAAUUAAUUUGUUCACUAUUUUAUUUGAUUAUUGGAGAGAAAUCAUUUUGAAUGGAAUGAUUUCAAAAAGUUAACAGUUUUGUAAUGAUUGUACAUGUCCAAGUUUGAUUGAAUAAAUCUAAGUUGACAGAAAAGGGAUGACAAAAAUAUUGAAUUAAACUCACAAUGCGUGCGGAACUCACGUGCAUUAAAAAUUCAAGAAAAAGGGAAUCCUCCUAUUGUGAGUGUUCGGUUAGAUUACAUGUCAACAACUUUCAAUCAUUUUCGAUCAGUGUAGCUUGGUUAAAGCUGAUUACACAUAAUCUGAUUAACUCGAAAAACUUUCCAUUUUUUCCCUAUUUUUCUUUUCCUGAUAAAAUUGAUAUUCAAAUGCCUCAAACUGUCAAACCCAAGAACGGCCUUUUUCUUUUUAAAAUCCCCCAAAACCAUUUGCCUUGGCUUGUUUUGGUGCCUAAUUUAUUGGACUCAGUUUUUAUCAUGGUUUUGAUUUGAAUAAAAUAAACCUCACUCUUCUUAGCCAACUGAUUUGAGUAAAAAUGGAUGAGAUGGGAGAAUAUUCUUGCAAUUGAAAUUAUUCUUUAUUCUCCACGGUCAUAAACAAUUAACUGAAUCACGUUUAAUUCGUAUUUUUUUUUCCUUUUAUUCUCUCUUUUUCGUGUUUUACUACAUGAAUUUUGACAUUUAGUCGUUGUUGGGUAGUGAUUAAAAUUAUAUUUUUAAUAAAUUUUGAAAUCUAUUGUUGAAAAGUUGAGAGACCCAUGAAAUAUAUGGUUAAUAUUAAUUGUUUAACUUUGAUUUAAAGCAAAUACCAAACAAGGGCUUAGUUGAGCAUCUUCUUAUUUGCAGAUAGAAAAAUGAGAGUUGCUGUCAUGCGUAAAUUUAUAUGGGUUAUGUUACAUGUACGUCAAAGUAUCCAUAACGAUAUUCAUCCCUAUCACACGGUGGGAACCACUUUGAAUAAAUUAGGGAUCGAUACCGUUAUGGACAUUGUAAACUGAGAGAAUUUUCUUUUCUAUCAUUUCAUUUUACAGUUUACACCAAUUUACGUUUUUAUCGUUUUAUCCUCAGGUAUUUGCAUAUAGAAAAAUGAGACUUGUUGUCAUGCAUAAAUUUAUAUACAGUAAAAUCACGUUUUCUUCCAUUAUUGUCAACGAAGGAGUCGGUGGACUUCUUAUUCUAGCCCUCGUUUGGAGAUCAAUUUUUUGUACAAAAUCUCAUUAGUCUACAAUGACAAACCAAUAAAAAAUGCAAAAGUUGAACCUUUUUUUGUCAGAAUUUAAUUACCCUUUAUUGGACCGCUGAUCGUGGCUGGACAUAUUUACCCUCUCUUUUCCAAGUCUAUUGUCUUCAAUUCACGUUAAUUUUACCACUGUAAUGUCAGGGCAUAAAUGUAAAUUGAUGGCAAUUAUGUGUGGAACACCCUUUUCAAUCAGUAAUUCUUCUUGUACAGCUGAAUUGCGGCCAGAAUCUCCCCAUGAUUUAUCUGUCCUUUUUUUUUUCAUUACCCUAUAGAUUGCUUCCAAGUGUCAUUCGUAUUAAUUUUGACAGUUUGCUCACAAUCGCAGUCUGGAGGUUCAAUUCCUAAAACGUAGAAUUUGACUUAUUGUAGGUGCAGUAUACAAACAGCUAUUAUCCUCUGACCUAUUUAAUUCAAAAAAGAUUUUAGUAGAACUUUAUCAGGAAGUUUAGUAAAAUAAUAUUAUGCUUUCCAUUUUAACUUUGGAAGAAAAAAGAAAUAAAGGGGACUGCUUUAGGAGGCUAAAAUGACAAGCUGAAAGCUUCAACAUUUUCAGCUUUGCUAUUGAGGACUGGUAAUUGGGACGUAACACUAACGAACAAUUUUUGAGCAACCAUUCACCCUUUGGUUUGGCUAACUUUUGAAAACUUGAAGUAAUUAAUUAAUUUUAAAAGCAACUUUAUUAUAGAAGAAAUCACUUCAGUUUUUAACUGAAACUUCCACGGAUUGACGAUUUUUACACAUCACAAACAAAAACUUAAAAUCUGCAAAAAUCAAAAACAUGUAUGCUACCUUCAAAUCUGCAAAAAUUGAAAACCGUCACUCGUCCACAAUGACCUUUGGCUCUUGCCAAUCGGCAAAAACGUCUUUCGAAUACCUUCAGUCAACAACACAAAAGCUCCCGUAUGUUGUCUUCAGUCGACCAAAAAAGCAGGCUCCUGUAUGUUGCCGAAAGUACAAAAACUGAAGGGAAUGCCGUAGUCAAAGUUCCCCACGUUGCCGGCGCCUUACGUGUAAUUUUGGGGGAAAAUCGUUUUUUCAGACAUAGAUGAAAUGGGUGUGUAAAUUGGGCGGAAUGGGCUUGGUUUCCCUCCAAAAAAGCUAGCACACGUGACUUAUUUUGCAGCACAUGUGACACAUUUUAAGCCCCUGUCCGUGAGUCUGUGUGAAUAGAAUUAUUCAUUGUUAAAACAAGAUUGAGGAUGUGGUUGUCAGACCUAAAAAAUAAUUUAAUAUCGGGUGCCACAGAAAGUGAAAAUUAGAUCGACAAAGCUACCCGCCCCCGGGGCAUAGCCUAGUGGUGUAAAGAAAAUGAGUGAGGUUGUUUCACGUCUUACAGGCAGCCGCAGUGUGGGGUUCGAUUUCUGAAAUAUGGAAUUGGACUCUUUGUAGGCGCAGUGUACAGACAACUCAUGUUUCCUGACCUAUUGGGACACAUCCCGCAAUUUACCUCCCUUACAAAACUCUAUGGACGGGACGGUGGGGGUCGUCAAGGUUGGGGUUCAACCUUUUUUUUAGAUUGACAAAGCUACCCUACUAUUACAAAAAACCACGUAUAACAAGAAAAUAGUUUUUUGAGAUGAUGCUGCCAGUGUUUUUUUUUUUUUUAACCCUUCUACACGUACAGAAUUAUUUUUGCCAGAAUACAUACAGAAUAUUCACAAUUCUGAAGUCCACACAUAUUUUUGGCAUUUUUUAUACAAUAUGAGACCCAUACACUUGUCUCUAUUCUGUACACAAUCUGUGAAAAUAUAAUCUGUACACCCAGAUUUUUUCCUUUUUUUUUACUAUACUUGUGCGUGUAAACUUUGUGAUAUGUUGAACACAAUCAUGAUGAUAAUCAUUUCUAUGCCUAGUUACACAGAUAGAAAAGGUUGACGAAGUAUGGAAAGUGAAAAUUAGAUUGAAAAUAAUGAGGGCCAAACAAACGGCUAAUUCCAAUUAAAUUUUUUCCACAAAACAAGCCAACCACCAUUCAAUCCAUUUCAAGGAUGGCGCCGAUGGAUUAUUUCCAAUUUGGUUAUUAAAGGAUAUCAUGUACACAUUUAUCGAUAUUUGCAGCAAUAAGCGUUGAAUCAAACGCAAAGAUACAAAUUUAUUGAUACAUUAAGUGCACGUCACAUGCAAAGCUACAACAUGCCAAGCACACCUAAUAUUUUAUGUGAAAAAUUUUGAAUUUUUUGUCCCCAUUGGAUCUUUCAAUAUCAAUUUGUCUUUUUGGGUACAUUAUCAAUGUCAAUUUUAAGAAUAUUACAACUUACAAAUGAUAUCUUUGCUUAUGUACUAGUAUAACUUAGUCUUCUGUACGAGAGAUUUUUGAAAGAUGUUUUUUUUUUUAAAAAAAAUAUGUAAUUAAAAAAUAAGAAAAAGUUAUGCGAAGAAGUGAAAAUGAUUUAUUUAUUUAUUUAUUUUUAUUUUUUAUAAUGUGUAAUUAGAAAUUAGUAUGAAGAAAAGUGAUUUUCAAUUAAUUACGCUCGUAGGCUGGCUUAAUAAUCCCUACUUUUUAAUCAUAUUCACCCAUUACGUGGAGUGAUAUGCAUGUUGACUUUUGGUUAUAAUUUAACUAAAAAAAUAUUUGUUAUUCAAUUGGUCAAUUAUAGAGACAUGUCAAUAUCAAAAGCUAUGCAGACAUAAAAUUGAUAUAGUAAAUUGGGGAGAUGGGUUCUAAUAAAUGCAGAAACCCCGUGCUUCACGAUGAAUUCACUUAGUCAAUUAUUGGGUACGUGUUAAUAUGAAAAGUUAUGAAUCCCACAAUAUACACAUAACUGAAAUAGUAAAUCCGUGAUAUGGCUUCUAAGUUUUGAUAAAUGCACAAAUCACGUGAUUCAUGAUCUUGAACUGCACAAGAAAUACGGGUCUAAUCUUCUGAACAAGAUAAAAACUUCUCAUUAUUAAUUUGGGGUUAUUAAUGAAUAUUAAACCUAUCACCAACAAGGGCGGACCUGGUUGGGGGGAGGGGUUUACAGGGUCAAGUGACCCUUUAGAUUUUUAUUUAUUUAUUUAUUUUUUAAUAGAAGACAUCUUUUAAAUUUUAUUUGUGACCCCCAACUCAAGUAGUCUGGAUUCGCUUCUAUCACCGACUUCUAAUGUGUUGGAAACCUAUAUGAAACAUUGAAUUUGUUUGGACAAAUGUUAUGUUUAGUGGAAGACAGAACAUCAAGGAAACCCGGGAUAAUGAUGCUAGGAUUUUAAUCUAAAUCUGCUUGAUUAAACAGUUUGAUGGAAGACAGAACAUCAAGGUCUCCGGGAAAAUGAUACUAGGAUUCUAAUCUUAAUCCACUUGAUUAAACAGUGGUAUUGGAAUCCUGAUUAGCCUCACCCUAUAUUAGUUUUGGUCAACAAUGGCCAUGUCAAUUGGACCUCAUGGUUGUUAAAAUUACAGAUUUCUUUAAGAAAGGAUAAUUUGGUGUAUAUUUGAUAAUAUUUAAAUUGUAACUUAAAUAGACUUUUUAAUUGUUAUUCAUAUUUUCGUAAGACCUACAAUUAUCACUCGCUUAUUAUCCACUUAUUUAUGGUCCAUAACUUUAAUCAUUCACAAGCAUGAGCUGUCAAACAUCCGAUUAAUAUGAUUGUUCAAUUCUUAGACAACAAUAUUUCCACAAAAAGGGUUUCUUAUCCAACUUUUGAAUUGAGCAAUGCUGUCUAUCAUUUGUUUAAUUGGUUCAAAGCCCCUCGAUUCAUACAUUAAAAAUGCAUUACACCUCCAUUGAAUAAAGAAUUAGAUGGUCCAUGCCAUCUAAAUUAAUAAUUUACCGUCGCUUAUAGCAGAUAACAUUAUUCUUUUGAAUUUACAAGCAAUGGUUUUAACUUAUUGAAAUUCUAAAAAGUUGACUUUUCCACGAAUUCUAGGCCUGGGGUUAAAUUUCUUUCUUCUGUAUGACUAAUCCACUCACUCUCAGAAAAAGCGCAGCUUUGUAAUUAUUUAUUUAUCUAUUUUUAUCACUUAUCUACAAGAAAUAUAAAAUCUAAAAGCUCCCAAAAAAAAAAAAAAAAAAAGGGUAGAAGGAAGACUCCUACAAGGACAUUGUUGUCAACUGAGAACGUUCAUUCCAAAAUUCUCUUAGGGGGGGUGUAUUUAAUCGAGACUUUUAAAGACUUUUAGAGAUUUAAAAAUUGGAUUAGUCUACAAGUACAAAAUCAAUUACUAAAAGUUUAACAAACUUGAUAAGUGGCGGCUCCCUGUUAGUGGGGCGGCUGGCCCCACCACCACUCCACCAACAGGGGGUCACCACUUGUCAAGUUUGUCAUUGAUUUUGUACAUGAUUUUGUACCGUUUACCACACCCUUGCCCCAUCCUACCCUAAAUUAACCUACAAUCACAGUUAACGUUGUCAUCAUCGCCGUCUCACCGUCGCGGCCUGCUGCUUCCGCUCGCCCAUCUUAUCAUGAAUUUCAUCACCCCAAUCGUUCCGUAAAGAAAUUAAUAACCAUACUGUAAACUAUAAAAUGUAAACUAUUCUCUUCCUCCUUCCAUUACACGAGUGAGUGAGCGUGAGUGAGAAAUGAUAGAGAUAAAAAGGACAGCAGAAUUUGUUCCAUUCCAUUUCUAAUCCAAUCCACCAUCUGCACAUCAUUUCUACCUAUACCACUCUAUUUUAAUCAAAUUGUCUAGUGAGUUCCCUUUUCAAUUUUACUUGGUGUUUUCAUCUAAUUUCAACAUAAAUUUACAUGACAAUUUGUGGGUUUGCGUAUUUAUUUGCGUGUGUUGGUUUUAAAAAUUGAUUUUUCAGUUGUUUUUGUUUGUGGGGUUAGAGAUGGCGGAAAAAGAUGAAGCUAUGGAUGCUCUAAAGAGGGAGGCUAUGGAUUUGGUAAUCCACUCUUUUACUUCAUAGAUUCUCUCUGUAUUUUCUACUUUUGUGUUGGUUUUUUUGUUUUUUUGAUGAAGAAAACUGGUGAAAAAGGGAAGAACAUCUUGUCUUGAUGGGUUUUAUGGUGGCAGUGAUAAGCGACGUCACAAUGAUGAGAUGAUGAUGGUGGGUGGGGUGAGCGAACAGUACCUUUUUUUAAUUUUUAGGGUGGGCUAGCUUUUUUAUUUUUGACCCAAACUAUUUUUGUUUUAUUUUAAUUCAAAGUUACCAUUUUACUCUUUUAAAAUUUGUCAAAAUCAAAUUUUUUUAAUCAACUAACGAUCAAACUAACAGAAACCAUCUAUAGGACUUCCAAGUGCGAGUUUUUGAAAAGUUUGAUAUUGUGACUUGUACAAAUUAAACGUUUAGAUCAAGUUUACUAAUAAAUGAAAGAUUUGAUAUCGUGACAACAAUUUUCCCAUUUACAAUUGUCCUUCAGAAUUAUAGUCUUGAAUGUUCUUAUAAAUAACAAGCCAUAGUUCCACUAUUGCUGAAGGUUGUGAAUGUGGACCAAGAAGAGUUGACAAUUGAUUGAGACUUUUCGUCUAGGUAACAUUGGAAAACAGUAAAAUCAUGUGACAACUGAUCCAAUUGCCAUUUAAAUGGGUUAUUCUGCUAAGUACUGUACAAGUUUACAAUCCCCACACAAAUGGAGCCCACGCUAAUUGUGGGGCCCCUCGUGUGAGGGGGUUGUCGCUCUUGCUGUACACAAGAGCACAGCCCCAUUAAAAUAGAAGUUUGUGUUCAUUUUGAACUCCAAUUUAAUAGGAGUUUGUGUUCAUUUUGAACUCCAGUUGCCACCAAACUCAAUUUAAUAUAUGUUAAUUGAAUCUCAAAUUACACAAUAAUUACAAAUACAACUAUAAGUAUUCUGACGAAAUGGAAGAAGAAAUGAAGUUAUAAUAUAUCUUUGAAUUAAUUGGCUAAAAUACAUUUACAAAUGUGGUUAAUAUUUAAACUAGUGACCCGAUAUUUUAUAACUACGAUCGUUUUUUUCUACUUAUAUCUCAACUGAAUUCUUCUAAACUAAAAAGAUGAACUAAAAAAACAUAAUUACGGAAGUUUAUUUUUGUUGAGUAGUAUAUGAAUUCAAUAUUUUACUAGCAUUUUAGAAGUUUAUGUACAACAGACUUUCUAAAUAAUUCAUGUAUUUAGUUUGUUUUUAAGUUGUCGGAACAAAUAUGAUUUAUAAUGCUUCAAAGGUGAUUUAUAUAGUCUGAACAAUGCUAAAUGCACACUCAAACUUUGACAUUGUAGUUGACACUUCAUUGUUUUAAAAAAAAAAUUGAACUGUCAAAUGUGAUGUCGCUACGUGGCAUGAUAUAAAGAAUGAUGUAAAAAAGAAUGUACCUAUAAGAAUGAAUGAUAUAGUCUAUGUUAUGAUAUCAAUAGGAUACCUUGUGCAUAUGAUUGUAAGAUUAAUAUCAUUGAGGUAGGAUCAACCAUAUGUAGUUUAUUCAAUCAACAAAGUUUUACAAUCAUGAUGCUUCGUCAAAAGUGUAGGAGGACUGGUGUUUUCGAGUUGCAAGUGAGAUAGUUUGGAUAAAUAUUUGAGUGGACCAUCUUAUUGGUUUUUUCAUCGAGCUAGAGAAUGUUUCUUCUUUCCAAAAGGUCAUAACUAAGAUUUUGGGAGCGUAAGGCGAAUUUUAUAAAUUGGGCUCCCACAUCUUAGUGUGAGUUUAAUAAUUAAUAAGAGUUUUAUGAAACUAAACCCAUGUUUGGGCUCUAUUUUAAUAUGAUUUUGGAAGAAAAUUUAUUUUGAAAUAGUGAUUUUUUAGAGAAUAUGUGGUUAAAAGAUAAGGAAUUAUUUUUUGACUUAGUGUAAUAUUAUUUUAUGGAAAAAUACGUAAUUAAAAAUAAAUUAAAAAAAUGCAUUUUGGUAAUAAAUCUGUUAAAUUAAAAUUCAAAAAUGAAAUGGAAACAAAAUGUAAUCUUUAAAAUAGUUAUGUUAUAGUCAAAUAACAAAGUUGAAAAAGUUCUAAACAAUCACUUAAAUACUACUUGUCUUGUAGUUUUAGAGUAAAAAUAUUAAUCGAAUCCAAAUAAUCUAUAUUGAUUAGAUAUAAGUUUUCAUCAACUUCAAUUUGAAGAAACUUUAAAAUAUUCUAGAUUUAUGUGCAAAAUAUUUGUUUUGUAAAUAUAUGGUUGAAAAUGAGCAUGAGAAGUAAAGAACUUUGAAAUAAAGGGCGUCAAACACGGGCUCAAUUUAUUCUAUACCUCUCUCUUUUCACUAUUUAGAAUUGUUAGUUUCCAUCAAACUCUCCAUCAUCUAAGUUAAAUUUUUUUACGUAGAAGAGACAUUUUAUAUCAUUACUCUCAUUUGCAAAAUAAAUAAUGUAGUAGUGUAAAAAUAAUAAUAAACAAAUAAUAUAUAUAUAUACACAAAUACAACUACAAAUACACUAAGGAAAUGAAAGAAUACAUGAAGUUAUAAAAUUGAUAAUAAAAAAGUAUGGUCCAAUAAUGACUGGCCCCAUAUUUUAAACCUAUGAUAUAUUCUUUUAUUUAUGUCUCAAGUGAAUUCUUCCAAACCUAAAGAAUGAACUAAAAAUAUAAUCACAGAAGUUUAUGUUAGUCGAGUAGCAUAUGAUUUCAAGAUUUUGCUUGCAUUUUAGAAGUUUAUGUACAAUAAACUUUCUGAAUAAUUUAUGUAUUUAAUUUGUUUUUAAAUUGUCUAAACAAAUAUGAUUUAUAAAGCAAUAGUCUUCAAUUAUUUAAUUAAUUUUUAUUUAGUUUGAGAUAUAAUUCUUUAGUUAGAACAUAUACAUACAAUAACUAUUCCUAAAUAAAAUUUAAUUCCUAUGUUUAUGUUAAAGUUUUAACUCAUAAUAUUAUAUUUGUAUUAUUCAUAUAAUUGUAUCAUAUAUCAAUGAAGUGGUAAUAUAUAUGUUAAAUUUUGUAUAUAAAAAGUGUUAGGCCCUAGUUGUAAUUGGUUUUAUUUGUAUCCAAAAUCAUAAUUUUCUGAGUUGUAAUUUAAGUCAAAUAUUUGUGGAUUGGUAGUAUAGUUUUUGGAGGAGUAAAAAAUGUCAAAUAUUAAUCAAAGAGAAAAAAUAGGCACAAAAUUGCUCGCUGGCCGUGCGUUUGAGUGCUCGAGUGCUCAAAAUAGAAAUGUAGAUGCUCCCUUGGUGCAAGCUUAGCGCUUGAGCGACGUAUGUAUCCAUAAAAAUUUUGUCCACUAUUUCUAGCCUGUUUUCCAAUUUUAUUCAAUCUCAAACUCUUCAUAUUAUAAAUAUCCAAGCCUAAUUCAUCCCUAAGGUAUGUCGAAUCAUUAUUUCAUAUUAGAGAAAAUCCUUUGAAAAUUAUUAACACAUUCAAGUUCUCCUGAUUCAACCCUAUAAUCAAUUCAUUAUAAUUCAUCCUAAACAUGUUUUAUUGUCUAGAUGAAUCAACCACUUUCCAUUUCUCCAUAAUUUGAUGGUAGUAAUUAUGCAUACUGGAAUGUUACAAUGAAAGCUUUUCUUAAGUGUAUGGAUGAACGAAUUUGGGUUAGUGUACAAAAAGGAUGUAUUGCCCCUUCCAUAUCUGUUGCAGGUAUAGUUACCUCUACCUAGGUUUCCACUUAGUCUAAAAAUAAUUUAGAUGAGUAUAAUUAGAAUAAUAGAGGUGCCUAAGUCAUAUUUAUGGCUAUUUCUCCAGAGGAGUUUUAAAUGCUUGUAUAGUAUGAACUGCCAAAGAAGUUUGGAAUAUUUUGAUGGGAACAAAACUAUUAAAAACUCCAAAUUACAUAUGUUGACUACUAAAUUUGAAGAAAUAGGAGGAAAGAUGAUGAGCCUUUUGAUGUUUUAUAUACUAAAUUGAAUGAUAUAGUUAGCUCAACUUCAACUUAGGUAAGCGAAUUCCGAGUCUAAGAUAGUGAGAAAGGUUAUGAGAUCCCUACCCAAGAAAUUUAGACCGAGGAUAACUGCUAUUAAGAAAAGCAAGGACCUAGAUGCAAUUAAACUAGAAGAAUUUGUUGGAUCUCGCCAAACCUAUGAACUUAGCUUACCUCAGUCUAAGAAGGACAAAUCUUUAUCCCACCCUUAAUAUUGUUAGGAAAGUUGAAUGUCACACCACUGAAGGUCACUACCCUAAGGAUGAGGAGCUUGCAUAUUAUGCUAAAAAAAAUUAAGAAAUUUCUUAAGAAUAGUAAGAGACCUUCCAAAGAGAUUUAAAGGUGAAUAUAAUACAUCCUGAAGAGAUAAAAGAGAGGGGUGAUGCUAGAAAUACCAGGAAGAGGUCCAUUAGGUGUCAUGAGUGCUACGGUUUUGGUUAAGUUAAAUUUGUUUAAUUUUGCAUUCUUCUUAUAUUAUUUAAUUCCUUGGCUAUUAAUUAAGUAAUUGGUUGCUUGUUGUAGUGUUUUUGGAGGCUCACAAUAGGUUUAGAGAGAUUAACACACGGGUAAUAGUGUUUUUGUAGGUCUUUAUUUUUUUUUUCUUGUUUUUUUUUUUUUUUUUUUAUUAAAAAAAAGUAGUUUAGUAAUUCAUGUGUCUCUUUGAUAAAUCGUGUGUUUAAUGCAAGCUAUUCAUAUGAAUUCAGACUAGGACUAAGACUGGGUCAUGUUUAGGUUAGACUUAAUUUAUCUUAAAAAAUAAAGUUGAAUAUAAUAUGAUUAUUGGUUGUCAUGAAUGCGUGAAUAGAAUUUAAUUAACAACAGGAAAUAAAUAGUUGAGAAUAGAAUUUAAUUAACAAUAGUUGAGAAUUGGAAAUAAAUAACAAUAGGGAAAAUUGUAAGUCCAAUACAUUCAUUCCACAUAAAUAAAAACAAACGCUUUUACAUAAUUUGUAUAAUAAAUUACAACAAAAUCAUCUCUUUCAUGUUACAAUAAUUCGAAUUUGACAGAAAAAUAAUACACUUAAGUUAGAAUCUAUUCCACUUGGGAGGAUCACUCAACACAUCACGAUUUUUUUUUUUUUUUCCUCAUGAUACUUAUGAAGUUAUGAUAAUCUCUAUUCAUUAAAUCAACAAGUUGCAGUGAAAUUUAGCCCUGUUUGGUAUAAAUAAAAAUUAAAAUUUUAAUAAAUUUUGAUAAAAACUAAUGAAAUGCGUGAUUAAAAAGUUGAUAAAAAUUAUGAGUCAUAUGAAAUAUAUGAUUAUGAUUUAAAUUUUUAUCAAAUUCUUUAACUAAACUAAACGUGAGCUAAAUUCAAAAAACUUAUUUCGGCUUGUAUAGUGUUUGAUUCUCGUGAAAGGCAAUAACGCUUAUUUAUUGAACCAAGGAUAGGGUUGAUAGUGCUAAUUACAUACUUUAUUAUAAAAACUGAUUUUUACUGAGUGGUGAAAAGAUAAUGAAAAUUACUGAGCCUCUGGUAAAGAUUGAAGCCUCGUUACUGAGGUUGACUACUGGGCCUUUGGUAAUCAAGGCCCAAUGACUUGCUAUCUAACUUAAAAAAGUGGAAAUGACAUGGAGGCAUGUUUUUGAAGAUCCAACUUCAUAAAUAAGAUUUGAAGUUUUAUCUUUCAUAUUUCAGACUACUGGGCCUUUGGUAAUCACGGUGCACGGGCACAUUGCCGUUGAGCACAAUGCAAAUCCAUUCUUCUUCUUUUUAAUAACAUCUGACAACUCAUCACGGUGCAGGCGCACACUUCUAUUGCAGGUUGGGUAUGUUGCAAAUGUGGAGAAUGAUGUGAGAUAUAUGGGGCCAACGGUUGAUACAACUGUUAGUAUAAAUUGUACAAGUGCUUUGGACUGGUCCAGGAAAAAAAAUUGUACAAGUUAAGACUAGGGGAAUUAUGUAUUUAAUAAUGAAGUCAGAUUUAAAUUCUUGAAUUUCGUAUUUUUAUUGUACUUGGAAACGUAAAGAAGAAUUAAAUUCUGUUGGUUUAUACAGAUGAGCAAAUUGAGUUUCGAAUGUGUGAUUGGUCCAUUUACUUUUUCCCAUUGCAGUGAUAAUGCGUAUGUUCAAAGAGGAAGUUGAUUUAGAGUUGAAGAAAUUGAAAAGAUGAUGUCGAGGGAGGGAUUAGGACCCUUGUGAUUUGUUGCGAUGAUGGAGGAGCAAAGAGGACGUUGAUGCACAAGGAACUAACUUUUUGCUGCGUCAUUUUUUGACAUUCUGAAUUCAUUUAGGUUAUUGUUGAACCUAUAAAUAUUUUGUAUUUGUGGAGUGAAGAGGGUUAUUAGGGUUAUAUGUUUCAAAAUAUUAUACUUACCACUUAUAUACUGAGAUAAUAUAGAACUAUUCCCAAUAUGUCAAACUUUUGCCGUGAAUGAAAUAUUAGUAUUUUCUAUGAUCUGUAGUUGUAUUGGUUAUUCGUGCCCAAGGUCUAAAAUACCCGAGUGUUUUUAUAAAGCAUGGGAUAUGGACAAUACCCUCAUUUGCACCAACCUAAAUUUAAAACCAAUUUGAGGCGGGAUUUUGUAUUUUCAAUUUUUCAUCGUCUAAGUUAGAGGGCAAUUAAUGGAGAAAAACUUCGGUGAGACGGUCAGGUUAAUGAGAGUUAUAUGCCUAAAGAGGCGCGACUGAAUAUUUAGGCCCACCUUUCUUAUUUUUUGGUCUAUGUGGGAAUGAUACGUUUGUUCAUUCCCGAACCGAGGAAGAAUAUUGAAUAAACUGCGACCUCCAAAUUUGUUGGAAUGAUACCUCUGUAGAUCACGCAUCCCAUCAAUAGUGAAGGAUAGGAAGGUUGUCUAGCAUUGAGAACUUCCGUGUUUCUCUUGAAUCAUGUCUGGUCUUCAGCUUCAUAAUAGUCAUAUAAAUUUUCAAGUAGCACCACAAAUUCAUUUGAUGUGACAUGAAUAUGGAUCAUUAUAAUGAUUUGUUCUACUUCAUAUGACUCCAAGUUAUAAAAAUUCUCGGAAUAGUUUCCUCCAUACAAAAACAAUGAAGGAAUGAACAUUGGAUGAUCUUUGAAUUCAUGUUUUUCGUUAAUGUCUAUUUAUAAAUCACACUAUAAUUUCUUUUAUAUGAAUAUUACUGUGGCGUCCAUAAUAAAAAUCCUUCUAUUGUGUCAUAAUGGUUAUGGCUACACCUUUACAUCCUGUCGGUGGUGAUAUUUCAGCAAAUGCAUCCCCGCUCUAUUCCUUUUUAGCUAAUUAUCCUGUAAGUCAACUCGUUACCUGUCAUUGUCCGUUGUGUUCAUAAUAUUUAUUGUUUAUAAAUAAUAAUAAAUUGUAGACGAGUGGUAGAUCUUGUAGAUAUACAGACAGUGGCAUUAGCGUGUAAAGAGUGUUGACUAUGUUGUGUGCUAAUUGUUGGAUUAGAGGUCAUAUGUUAAAUCAUCUUAUGAGCUCUCUUGUUUACUGAAUUCUCAACAAAUUGAUUGAUCUAACUGUUGAAACCCGUUGCUUCAAAUCAAGGUAAGUAUAACAUUUUAGUUGUGGUUGCUUGAUUGGUCGUAUGAAGAUUAGACAUAUGCCAACUUGCUUAGCUAAGUUCAAUUUUUUCCUAUCGAAAGUUUUAUGUUCUUCACGUCUUAAUGAUCUGUCCACCUAAAAUUUACAUGCUAAUAUAUGUCAGUUGUGAAUCUUGGAGUAGUUAUGUAGCCUCAAUUUUGUCAUGUGGUUAUUAUGCUUAAUUUUCUUUAUUUUCAUAUUAAUGUUCCAGUGAUUGAAAGAAAAAUGGUACUGAUUUUUGUUGAAUCGUUUUGCAGUCCGAAGCAUGUUUCUUGACUAGAGCUGGGAUUAGCACAUAAAGUGGAAUUGGUCACAUAUUAACCAAUGGUUACAAUCAAUCAAAUAAUUUGUAACCACUACCAACACUUAUAACCAUUGCCUCCAGCAGCAGUAGCAGCAGCACCACCUCCACCUCCUCUCAACAGUAAUAUUACCACCUCAAUCAAAUCAAGACAUCGUAGAAAAAUAUCACCACACCAUUGUGCCAAAUUCACCACAACCAUUGCCACGACCACCAUCGUCGACCGCCAAAAUAUGAAAGCUGCCGCCACUACCACUCCAACAACGAAAACCAAUGCCUCAUCGCCAUCAAUCACCUGUACCACCACUGCACGCAAAUGCCAGAUCUACCAUCAUCACCACAACUGUGUAGAGUCGUUGGAGAGACGGUAUGAAAUGAACAGGAUAAAUUAAGAUUUUGUAAAAGUGAAUUAGGGUUUGUUAGGUUAGGGUGGUUGUGGUAGAUUAAUUAUAUUUAAUAGUAUUAUCGGUAUUAAAAUAUUUAAUUAUAAUUUGAAUUAAUAUCUAAUUUUUGUAUAAAUAAACUUUUAAUAUGAUUUUUUUUAAAUUGGAUCUUAAAAGAUAUCAUUGAGUGUAAUUUUCACUUGUUAACCUUUUUAGCUUCUAUGGGUCAAUGUUCAAACCAUUUUUGUUAUCACCCCUUGGGCAUUUCUGGAAUUGGGCUUCUUUUGCAGGGAUAAAGCCCAAUCUAAUACACAGAAAAAUGGAACUAAAUGUAAGGAAUUUCAGCCACAAAUAAAUUGGAGGAAAUUAGGCUACGUACUCUAAAAAAUUGACAAAUUAGAUUUAUACACUUAAAACAAAUUAAAACCUCUAUCAACCGUAAUUAAUACUCCCAAAUUUCCCCCCUAAUUCAAUUUAACUCCGAAUUUUUAUCUUAAAUAAUCAAUUUCAAGAAAAAUAAAUUUUCAUUUCAUUUGAGUUUUGCAGAUGGAGAACCUGCAAUUUGCGGAGGAACUCAUCAGAGAACUUAUGGUGGUUAGAGGAUUUACAAAAACUCUCCAAUCUUUUGGAAAAGGGCUGGAAGUGAUAUUAGCAAGGGGUUUGAAUUCAAUAAGAUUUUAGAUUUGAAUUUCUGUGCUUACAUUUCCAAAUUUCGAGGCUGAAAAUUUGAUUGAUUUGCUCAAUUUCUUCAAGCGAUGUUUUUCUCAUUCUGAUUCUACACCGUUCGCUACACUGUCGAGAUUAGAGUAGUAUAUUCUAUGGUGUUAUAUUGUUAAUGCAAUAAAGUGUGAAAAGGCUAAGGAUUUGGAGACAGGUUCUGAACAUAUGGAUGAUGAAGGGGGUUAGGUACCUGUUUCUUUCUGGGAUUAGUGUUGGAACACAGUUGUUUGAUGAGUUAGCAAGUUGGUCUCCAUUAGUUGAAGUGGAAGUUAAAUGAGCAAAGAGCCCCUUAGCAAUAUGAUUAGGUUUAGUUUGAACUUUAUAAUGUAAAUAAUUGACAUUUAUGAAAUUUCUUUUUGAUGAUUUUGAUAUUAUGAUUGGGAAUAUGUUUGAAAAUAAUAUUAUUGAACUUGAGAAGAAAUUGAUAAUGUCAAUACAUAGCUUUAAGUCAAUUAAAUUGAUGCAUAUAAGGUGUUUGACGAGAGGUGAAUGUGAAAAAGUGACAUUCUGUUACUUUUCUGAAAAAGUCACACUAUCUCAUUUGAGUAAUUAACUAGAUGUAUACAUGUGCAUUUUUGAAAAUUUGAUCAUGCAAAUUUAAGCAUUGUUUUAUGUUAAUACAUAAAAGAUAGUUUUGAAUCAAUUAGAUUGGUGCAUGUAAUGUAUUUGUUUAAGGAGAAUGUGAAGAAUGUCACUUUUCUAAAAAAAAAGUCGCGUUAUUUCAUUGGAACAAUUAACUAGAUACACACGUGUGCUUUUUUUGAAAAUUUGAACAUACAAAUUCAAGUCUUGCUUUAUAUUAAUACAUAUGAAAAGCAAAACUUUGAAUCAAUUGGAUUGAUGCAUGCAAGGUGUUUGCUUAAGGAAAAUGUUAAAAAGUGUCACUUUUUUUUUUAAUUUGUGCAACUUCUUUUAAUUUGUGUCACUUUUUUAAAUUCAUCAUUUUUUCUAAAUUUUAGUCAUAGUUUUGAAUUUUUGUCACUUUUUAAAGUAGAUGUCACUUUUUUUAAAAAAAAAAUUGUCACUUUUUUUAGUGCUUGGCACUUUUUCAGUUGCUUUCUUGAAAUUUCUAUCACUUUUUUUUUUUUUAGUUACGAACAUCAAUUUUUAAUAAAAGUGAAAUUUUAUUUCAUGUUUUAAUAUAAAAGUGACAUUCACUUUUUUUUUUAGACAAUUUUUAAUUUAUAUUAAAAAAGUGACAUUAUGUCACUUUUUAAUUUUAGACAGUAUUUUUACUUUCAAAAUUUUUUUCAUAUGAUUUUUCUAAACAUCCAUAAUUUUAAGGGUAGUUUUGUAAGUUUUCCAUAAUUAAAUUGGUUUAUGAAUUAAUUAAUUUUAUUCGGGCCUAUUAACAAGCAAUCGAAUUCAUUAAUUAUCCAAUAUUUGUCAAUUAAUUAAUUGGUAAAUCUUAUUCUUCUAAUUCUCAUUUUAUGUGUGAUCCAUUAGGCUCUCAAUCACGAUAUUUAAAAACGUGAAUUAUUAUUUUGAUCUAGUCAAAAUCGAUAAAUUAAAAUACCUCUUUUUAAUUUAUCGUCAAUUCAUGUCACUUUUUUUUUUUAAUUUGGUCACUUUUUUUGAGUUUGUGAAAAAAAAUGACAAUUUUUUUUUUUAAUAAAAAAGUGACAUUGUGUCCAUUUUUCAUUUCAUACAGUAUUUUUUACUUCCUAAAAACUUUUCAUAUGCUUUUUCAAAAUACAUCUAAUUUUAAGGGUAUUUUUGUAAGUUGCCCAAUAAAUUGGCCAUGAAUGGCCCAACCAAAUUUUCACUUUAAAUCUCUUUUCUCCUAGUCUUCUUCAUUUUUUCAAGCUCCGUUCUCUCGUACAUUUGCAACAAUGGUAACUCCAUUCUCUCGUACAUCUGCAACAAUGGAGUAAGUUCUAUCAAGUACUAAAAAUUCAUCCCAUUCAAUCACAAUUUUAUGAAUCAUUUUGAGUGCAGAGGGGCUUUAUAGCAAAGCACCUAUGCGGUUGAUUUAUUAUUAUUAUUAUCAUCAUCAUUAUUAUCGUCGUCGUCAUCAUCAUUAUUAUUAUGCCAUCGACCUAUGGAAUUGUGCCACAUCCACAUCCUCCUUGAAAUGGCCGUGGCUACUAUUCCCCUGGUACUAAGAAACUCUCAGUACACCCAACUUAUUUUUGUUGAUGGAUAUGAUUUUGCUAAUUUUUUUAUGAUGAAUAUGCUUUUUAACGAGUUAAAAUGUUUAGAGAGGAUGAAGAUAAUUGGAACCUGGAGGAAUUAUUUGUAGAACCUACAUCAAUGGGAUAAGUAUUUCUAAAAUACUAAUUUUAUUUUAUAAUAAAUUUCUAAUUCAUAUUUUAAACAUUAGUCUUCUUGUCUCAUGGUGACUUGCCUGAUGAUAUACUAAUUGACAUUCUUGGCCGUCUGUCGAUCGAGAAUUUGAAGGAAACUAUGCCCUACAAUCGAAUAUUUUGUCGCAUUUCUAGGGUUUUUCUAGUAUGUCUAGGACUAUCUCGUAUUACCCAAGCAAACGAAAUAGCACCACUGUAAGUUUAUAUUUUAUAAUUAAUUACAACCUAUAUAUACUCGAACUGACGCAAUAACCUGCAAAUCACGCCACCAGCUAAAUCGCACUAAACAAGCCCGAUGCGACAGACUCGACCAAAAAAUUAUACUUUGUUCUAUUGUAGGUUGGGUAUGUUGCAAAUGUAGAGAAUGAUGUGAGAUAUAUGGGGAUGGGGCCAACGGUUGAUACGAUUGUUAGUAGGUACGCAAAAAUUGUACAAGUGCUUUGGACUGGUCGAGAAAAAAAAUUGUACAAGUUAAGAUUAGGGGAAUUAUGUAUUUAAUAAUGAAGUCGUAGAUUUAAAUUUUUGAAUUUCAUAUUUUUAUUGUAUUUGGAAUCAUAAAGAAUUAAAUUAUAUUGGUUUAGAUUGACGAUCCAAUUGAGUUUCAAAAGUGACUGGUCCAUUUACUUUUGAGUAUCUUAGAAAUACGUACCCUAUUGAUGUAGGUUCUGCAAAUAAUUCUUCCAGGUUCCAAUUAUCUCAAUCAUCUCUAAACAUUUUAACUCAUUAAAGCAUAUUCAUCAUAAAAAAUUAGCAAAAUCACAUCCAUCAAAAAAAAUAAGUUAGGUGUACCGAGAGUUUCUUGGUGCCAGGGGAAUGUUAGCCACGACCAUUACAAUGAGGAUCCAUAGGGCAAUGGCAAAAUAAUAAUAAUAAUAAUAAUAAUAAUAAUAAUAAUAAUCAACUGCACAGUGUCUGCGCUAUAAAGCCCAUGUACACUUAGAAUGAUUCACAAAAUGCUAGAUUUACUCUAUUGUACCAGAUUUACGAGAGAACGGAGCGUGAAUAAAUGAAAAGGACUACGAGGAAAGAGAUUUAAAGUGAAAAUUUGGUUGGGCCACUUAAAUUGUGGCUGAAACUCCUUAGAUUUAAUUCCAUUUUUCUGUGUAUUGGACUGGGCUUAAUCCCUUCAAAAGAACCCGAAUUCCUGAAAUGCCCGAGGCCCGGUAACAAAAAGAGAAAAAGUUAGUGUUCCUUUCUUCUUUAAUUAACAUAUCAUGCCUUGUUAGUGUUAUAUGCUGAUAUCCAAUCUUGGAAGGUAGUACCAAUGGUAUGGUGUGGUUUGACAACAGCAAUCUGAAAAUUCACAAAAAAAAAAAUAAAUAAAUAAAAAUAAAUAAUAAUAAUAAUAACUCAAAACAUUUACGUGAGAAUAUAAAAUGAGAAUUGGAAUAUAUAUUUACCUAAUAAACUCAUUUCAUAUGAAGAAUGGAAAAAGGGAUGAAAAAUAAGUCAAAUUCUAGAUUUACCAGAAAGUGCUGCGUUGAUCUCUCAAAAUCAAGCUUCCUAAUAGCAAGUUCACAGCUUUGGGAGACAAUAGGCUCAGGAUCCUCAGCAAAUUUCUCGAGCAGCAUGAUACAUUUGCGGUCUACAAAUCCAUAAGAUGCAUGAAAGAAGAAUUGUGCAAAAUAAAAAAAAGGAAAAUUAUACGAUUGAAGAUCAAGUAUGUAUAUGUGUAUAUAUAUAUAUACAUAGAGAGAGAGAGAGAGAGAGAGAGAAUAAACCAGAUUAUUUUUUCUUUUUACACCUAUUCUUCACCCAUAAAAAUAUGUACAUAACAGCAUUGUAAUUGGUAAAGUCUGUACCAUACCAAUUUUUUUGAGAGAUUUUUCAUCAAGUGACAGGUAUAAGUUCCUUUCUAAGAGCUUCCUAGUCUCAGAACUCUAAUGAAUGUAAUCCUUCAAUGCCCUUAAAAUUUUUAUAUCAAUUUGUUGGAACUAUUUCACCAACUCAUAAAAUUAAUUUAAUUGGAAAACACAAACUAAUUUAGAGAUUUGCGUUGAUGGUAUAUUACAGUCCAAAAAAGAAAAAAGGCAAUCUACUCUGACAUCUAGACUAGCUGAAAAAAUAGUUUUCAUUCUAAUGCAAUUGUCUUGGUCAACUAACCAUAAUAUGAUGAAUAUACCGCAACUGGCAUAAGAACAACAUGUAAAAAAUACAAGUGGAGGACAUACAUGUUGUAGAAUCAAGACCUUCUUUUACUGCAAUAGAACGAAGAACCUUAGCGGCAUUAUGUCUAACCAGAGGAUGUUCAGAGGUACUCUGAAAAACCUAGGAUAGAGCAUGAAAAGCUUUUUUGUUCCCUAUUUGAAGCAAGUAAUACGCAACCCGGAGAACAGGUCAAUAGAACAUUAGACGUUCAAGUAAUAGAGUCAAUUCCUCUAGUUACAACCAGAACCAACUUCCCAAACACAAAAGCUCAAGUAUUGAGAGUCGCUCUUUAUCUACUUUGUCCUUGUGUGUGCAUGUGAUCUCUAUUUCGUUAUAGGGUAAUGUCCCUUUAGAAAAACUUAGGAUUAAAGCAUAAAAUGAAAACGUGCAUGGUACUGUAGAACUGCGCUUUCUGCAUAAAGGGAUUCAAUAAUAGCCGAGAUUGCUUCCUCAGUACAAGGGGUAGGAUGAAGAAAAUACAGUCGAAGUGAAAAAAGUGCAGAGCAACGCUCAUAUCGGCUAUUGUCUUCAUUCAGUAGAACUUCCCUGAAUAAUAUACCAGAGAACAAAAGAACUCAUUAUAUGGACUGGUAAGAACAUAUUAUGAUUAUCAAUCUAUUUCAAGAAUUGCAAACCUUAAUUCUGGCACAGGGCAAAAGAGCAAUGGAGCCGCUUCCAACAAAUUAAAACGUCUUAAUUCAUCAGGCUUCGCGUUUGGUAGCUCCCUAAUUCGAUUAAGAGCCAGUUCACAUGAUUCUUUAACUUCUUUAGAUGGAUCCAAUUCGAAACUAGUCUUCAAGACUGGAACACUACUCUCUAAUCCAAACGCACCAAGUGUUUCGUGCAGGAAGUCGCUAACAAUUAAAAAGGAUCAGACGAUUGUGUAAGGAACAAACCUCUUGAGACAAAGUCCCAAAAAGGGGUGUUUUAUUGGCGAUGAUUUAUGAUUGGAACUAAAUAGAAUGCCUCCAAGGGGCGCAAGCACAUGAGUACUGAAAGAAAUGUUUAAGUUUAAACUAAGAAAUUGAAAUUACAUAUUAUCUGUUUGAGAGUGUUUGAUUCGAGUCCUUUCUCUAUGUCUUCUUUUCCUUUUAUAUUCCCUUGAUGAUUUCUUUGUGACAAAUCGCUUGGAAACUGCUUGAUUGCUUUAUAAUUACCCACUUUCUUUAUGGUGGCUAACUUGUCGUGGAACUGCCGUCUCUAACUGCUGCCACUACUCUUUGUCGUUCAACCGCCUUCAACUGGGUUCCUUGAAUCGUGGAAUGUGAUAAGGUUACUCAAUAACUGCUUCAAUAACUGCAUUUCUGGAUAACCAUAACAUUUUAUGUUUGCUAAGAUCCUGGGCGAUUCGAAGGUAUGGGCGAGAACAGGGUCAUCGCUCUGGGCGACUGUAAGGCACUCCAUUCGUUCAUAUCUCGGGCGUCUUGGAAGCUUGGGCGAUGAUGUUACUGUGUUUGUAGGCUUCCACUGCAUUCAUUAAUAACCCUGUCUGGGCCUUUAUCCUGAAUUGCCCCGUUUGGGCUUCAUUUUUUGGGCUAUUUGAUUUGGAAAUUCUUCAAUUGGGCUUCAUUCCUUGGACUAUUCGAUUUUGACUGUACUUUUAGUGUGUCAACAAUUACUCCCCAAUAUGGUAGAAUUAAUACUAAUUAUUAAUCUUUGCCAUAUUUAUUUUGUAUUUUCCAGCAAUAUUUGAAAUUCUCAAAAAUUUCAAUCAUUAUUUCCUUCCAUAGCCUGAAAAGGUGCGACGUUGCAAACCCUUAUAAACCCCAAAGACACGCCAUUUCAUCACACCACUAAAUCACGUCUCAUUAUUUCGCGCUUCUUUCUCGCAAUAUUACUGUUUAUCUUCUUGCUUCUCUGCUAUGUUUCUCAAGCAAACUUUAACAAAACUGUAUUUCGAUCCCAAUGGCGGUUCCACAAACCCAAUCUGAUGACUCUUCUAGCUUCGACGAUUUCCAGAAAAUCCUUACUCGGCCAUAUGUAAAUCCGAACUUCCUUACACCAGCCAAUGCCGAAUUCAAUGAGUUCUAUCUGGGUCCAUCAUUCAACAAUGCCGAAGCUAUCGAACAAGUGGCGAUGGGCCAGCUGUUCCCUUGAACUCAAGGCCCUCUGUUCCUGAACUCUUUACCGUUGAGGCCGAUUCGCGAAAAAGGUAUUCACACUUGGCCUAAAUCUGAUGUUAUUUUCCGUAGAUGGCAUGCUCGUCUUGUAGGCCAUGGUCCUACCAAGGCAAUUUUUGAUCGUGCUAGGAUUUCUGAUUUAUUAGAAAUUGCUUUUCAACCCCCAAUUUUUGACCCAGUGCUCUUUCCUAUUGCUUUAAGUUUUUGGUCUUUUGAAUAUAAUACCUUUGUUUUCCCUCUUGGCCCCAUGUCUAUUACUUUAAGGGAUGUUGGGGCCCUAGUAAAUCUUUAAGGGAUGUUGGGGCCCUAGUAAAUCUUUCACCUUUUGGCGAUACCAUUUUCCCUGGUAUUUUGAUUUCAGGUGUCGCCCCGAAAUUUGACAAGAAACUCACUGAGUCCUACUCAAGCCUGCAAAGCUAUUAUAAUCACUCAAGCGCUGAACCUUCCCAUGCUGAGUGUGUGGCCUUUCUUCAGAUUUGGCUAUGUAAAUAUAUUCUCUGCGUGCCAAGUAUGAAGCCUUCCAUGAGUUACUUACCCAUAGCACGUGGUAUGCCUUUGAAUUUGUGUUCCUUCUUUUUGGCUGCCCGUUAUAGAGGCAUGGCUUCUCUUCAAUUUCAAUUGAAGAAUGGUGCAUCUCCUACUGGUAGUGGGCCUCUUUGCUUCACUCAGUUGUGGUUGAGAGUAUAUUUUCCACCACUUGGUGCUCCAUCCAUUUCCAGUCGUUCUGCUAGCUGCUAUGGGCUAGCCAUUGAUCCACUGACCCUUAUACAUAUGUCCAGUAGGGACAUUUUUUCAUUCUUUUAUUUCUUAAAUUCGAUUCCUUCUUUCUUUCCUUUUCCUGCUCAUUUGACUCUAGAUUAUGUGAAACCUCCGUCCAUCCCAGAUAGUGCGAGCGCCUCUCUGCUCAUUUGGAUUCAAUUUUUGACUGGGAGGGAGUUGUUCCAUAAUAUUUUAACUGGAACCAAUGCCAAAGCUGGGGUUGAAAUAUAUGCUCCCCAAUUUUUUGCUCGCCAACUUGGUUUUGGCCAAACUUGGCCUGUUCCUCUUUACUAUUCAAAAAAUUUGACAGACCGCUUUCACACCAUUAAUAAGGUAGAAGGCUCGCAACAUUCUUUUGACGAGUAAAUUUUCAUUAGCCCCCUUCAAUUCUAGCCGUGCCAUCCAUCCCCUUUUUGAACAACUCUGGCCAUCAGUGAAGCGCAGAUUGUUUGCAACUGAUGCCAAUCGUGCUUUCCAUUCCCUGGAUCAGCCAAACACUUCUUCCACUUCUCCUAUUUUGGUCACCCCUGUGUCCAUUAGGAAUCCUUCCUCCCCUGCUCGUGCUAAACAAUCUAUUCGUCCAUCUACUUCCUUACCUUCCAAGGCUACUGCAGCUAAAAAUGCCUUAAGCCGCAAACGGCCAGCUUCAGCAUCUCCCAUUUUGGAGGAUGAUGAUAAUGAUGAUGAUGACGCUCCUCUCAUCAUUAGGAGAAAGGUAAUUGAAUUCUGUUUAUUCACAAACAUACCUUUCUAUGUGCUAAUGGUUUAUUUGAAUUUCUCAAAAAAGUUCAACCUCUCCUUUGAAGGCUUUGGUGUUGGCAGCUCCUGCUCCAUCAUCCUCUGUCGAAGCUGCUUCGUCCAAAUCAGCUGAUGAAGGGACUAUGCUUAAAGAGAAACCUUUAGUCCCGGAACCUUCAUCACAACCAAUGGAAGAGCCACCUUCUUCCCAGGGUGCCGACCCCCCAAACAUCGAACCAGAAGGUAAUACAUUUUUUGAUAUUUUACCUUUGCUUGUGCUAUUGGCUUCUGAUUUGUUGCUUCUUGAAUUCUGCAGAGGCUUCCAUGGGUUUGCCCGUUGUGGCAGAGUCUUCUCGCCCAGAUAAGAGGAAGUCUCCACAGGUGGUGGAGCCAACUGGUGAUUUGCCAUUUCCCAAGAUUGCUGAUGAGGUAACCUUUUGCUUUACUUUCAUUUUCGCUUCGUUUAUUGUAGUAAAAGCUCUCAAUGUUGGCAUUUUUCUUUGCAGGGUGCUCAUAACAUUGUGCAUUCCAUCUAGGAUUUGUUCACCUCCUGGGGGCAAGUCAAGACGUCUCGCCUUACUUCAACCGAUCGUCCUUCUGCUUCUUCAAAGGAAGAUAUGAAGUUUCUCAAGCAGUCGAUAUUUGAGUAUGUGUCUUUUAUGGACAUGGACAUCGGUCAAGCUAGUGCUACUAAACAUAAGGAUAAGCUUGAGCUAUUGAGUGCGAAGUUGGCGCAAGCACUGACACUUCCGUCGCUUAAUAUUUCUGCUGAUUUUAAAGCGACGUUAAAGAUUGUCCACUCCGACAUCUUCUCCUUGCUGGCCAAAAAUGUUGAACUGAAGGCCAGGAGUACUCAAUAUCUUCGCGCUGCAUCUGAAAGAGAGUCUUUGCUUUUAGAGAUUAACAAAGUCGAGGACGAAUUGAAAGAAAUCUCUUCCGAAGUCAUGAUUGAAGACUCCUUGAUGACCAGUUUGACUACAGAGAUGAAGGAACUUCAAGCAAGGAUGGACGACUGUAAGGCGAGAAUGGCUGCCAAAAAGCGUAAUGCUUCCCAAGGAAUUGAGCGAACCAAGUUUUUGGUCGAGCAAUACAAAAAGCUGGAGGUUGAUGACGAUUUUGUAGCUAAAUUAAAUGUCACUUCUUCUCAGCAGAGCAAGGAUUGGGGGAGACUUAGGGAAAGAAUUCGAUCGGCCUGGGGUGAAUUGUAAUUAAGACAUCUAAUGCCUUAAAUUUUCCUUUUGUAACUUCGUACUAACUACCAUUGCUAAAUUUGAAUGUAACAGCAGCCAUUGUCAUUAAUGAACGACUAUUUUGACUACUUGUGUACUAAUUGACGUUGUCCUUAAUCGUCAACCCCCCAAGCAUUUAACCGCUUUAUGCUAAGAUUCAUGUACAUUCUCUCUUGGUUUUUCCCAAGACUUUGGGCCACUUGACUCCAAUUACUAGGCACAAAUGUGGCCGUUCAUAUUCUGUCUCUUCACCUUCACGCCCCUAUAAAUGCACGUAUAUUUUGCACUUUUCACUUUCAUUUCCAUUCUUUUCUUCAAAAACUAAUUUGCUGCCAUCGUUUGACAUUUAAACAAUCGAUCCAAAAUUUUCGUCUUCCAUAGAAAUGGAUCAUUUGAUCCUCCCAUUUUGCUACCUGUUUUGAUGUCACCUUUGGUAUGGGAGAUAUAGGAAAUAUUUUUUGACCAGCGAAGUUCUUCCGAUCAUCUCAAUGAUGGGAGGCAAUGUUUGAGGAUGCUUUUCAAGCCACCUUGCUUGCUGAGAGUGCUUCUCAGUCUCCUUGCCCAUUAUUGCACCAAUGCGAUUAGGCAGGUGAUUUGAGGGUGCUUUUCUUCCUUUUUGCUUGUUGAGAAUGCUUCUCGGCCUCUCUGCCUGCCUUUGCAGCAGUGCGAUCAGGAUGGCAAUUAAGGCCAGUUCACCCUCUUGCUUGGUGAUCAACCAAGGAAUUAGUUUGCUCUCAAUUGUGGCUUAUAGAGCAUUUAAUAUUUUGUAUCUCGCAAUAUUUUGUAUUUCACAAUUUGUAAUGAAUGUUUGAUAAUAAAGGAAUUUAUUUGAAUGUAUUUCGUUAUGGCCCUUUUUUUAUACGAUCGAUCAACGCGAUUUGAUUAUGCUUUUAUUUGUUCACUUUCCAAUAAGGAAGGAACAUAUUUUUUUAAAUAUUUGCCAUUAAUGAACCUCAUGUGCUUGGUGUCAUCUAAAUCUUCCAAAUGAUAGGCUCCAUUAGGCAACACACUAUUUACUUUAUAUGGCCCUUCCCAAUUGGACGACCACUUGCCAUAUUUUGGAUCCUUGCUAUCCAAAGGGAGUAUUAUUUUCCAAAUCAAUUCACCCAGGCUAAAUGACUUGGCUAUAGCUUUUUUAUUAUAAAACUUAGUCAUCCUUUGUUUCUGAACUUGCAAUCUAUCUAGGACGUCCAACUUUAAUUCGUCCAACUCCAAUAAGUUUUGAACUAGUGAUUCGGUAUACUCAUCAUCACUUAACUUAUGUUGCAAACACACUCUGAUCGAUUGCACGUUGAUUUUCAUAGGCAAAACGACCUCCUGUCCAUAAGUAAGUUGGAAAGGAGUAAUUUUGAUACUUGACCGAGACAACGUCCUAUAAGCCCAUAAGGCCUUGUUUAGACAUUCGUGCCAAUUUUUGGCAUUUUCAUCUAUCAUUUCCUUAUGAUAUUUUUUAGAAUCUUAUUAGAAGAUUCUGCUUGCCCUUGGAUUGAGCGUAAUACGGUGUGGGGUUCACUACUUUAACUCCAAACUCACUCAAGAAUUUAUUUACUUGAUCUCCAUUUAAAGAAGUUCCGUGAUCUACCAUCAAAGUUUAUGGAAUCCCAAAUCUAUAAAUAAUAUGAUCACGGAUAAAUUCUAUGACACUCUUUUGGGUGAUUUCUUUUAAAGGUACCGCUUCUACCCAUUUAGUGAAAAAUCAGUCGUACCUAUAACAAGGGUAUGUUGCUUGGACGAUGGGGGAUAAAUCUUUUCUAUCAGGUCUAUCGCCUAACCCUUUAACGGCCAGGGUUUGAUAAUGGGUGCCAUCUCUCUUGCUGGUGCCCUUUGUAUUAGACCAUACUUUUGGCAUGCUAGACAACUUUUUGCAUAUUGAACACAUGAUUCUCCCAUCUUGAGCCAAAAAUAUCCAUUCCUAAUAAUUAACCAUCUCAUCCUUUGGCCAGCUUGAUGAGCUCCACAUAUCCCUUCGUGCACCUCAACCAUGAUUGUCCUUACUUCUUGCAAACUUACACAUUUUAACAAUAUACCAUUAGAGCGUUUCUUAAACAACUCUUCAUCUAUCAGUGUAUAGUUUAGCAAACACAACUUCAUUUUUCUACUAUCUCCUUUAUUAGGUUCUUUAAGGAACCUUUUAAUCUCUGUCCUCCAAUCUAUUGCAUCUCCAUCUUGUAUGCAAUGAAUUUUAAUCCUUCUCGCCCUUCUUUGGACUACGGGCAAUAUUACUCCAUAUUCAUAAGUAGAUUUUCAAUUUAAAACCUUUGAAUACCCUGAGGCCAUCUAGGCCAACUCAUUUGCUACGUCAUUAUAUAUCCUAUUAACACAUUGAAACUCUACUUGGUCGAAUUCUUCCAACAACUCUUGGGCGAUUUCAUAUUGACUUAUAAUGGAAUCACUUUGGCACUUAAAAUCACCAAUCAAUUGGUGAAUUACCAAUUGGGAAUCGCCUCUAACGAUCACAUUCUUUACUUCCAUAUCUAUCAUUAAUUUCAGGCCCACGAUUAAGGCUUCAUGUUCGGCUUGAUUGUUGGUGCACAUCCUAUCCAAAGUGAAUGCGAACUUGUAACAAAUCCCUAAAGGAUUUAUCAAUGCUACUCCUACUCCUGCACCUUUAGAGGUUUUUGACCCAUCGAAAUACAAAACCCAAGGUUUUAAUUUGAAUGAAUUGAUUUCAAAUUCAAUUUCUUCAGCAUGUCAAGGCAUGGAUGAUCGGCCAGAAAAUUAGCCAAAGCCUGAUUUUUUAUUGCCUUUUGGGGUAUGUAUUGUAUUUCGAAUUUUGAUAAUGCUAACGUCCAAAGGCCUACCCUUUGGUGUAAAAUAGGGCGAGAGAACAUAUACUUAACCAAAUUUACUCUAGAAAUCAAAUAAACGGUUACGGGCCGUAAAUAAGUCCUUAAUUUCGUACACGUGAAAUACAAUGCAAGACAUAAUUUUUCAAUGGCAGAGUAAUUACAUUCACAUUUUGUUAACCGUCUACUCAAGUAGUAAAUUGCCCUUUCUUUACCAAAUUGGUCUUCUUACGCGACCAUUCCAGCUAUUGAUUCUUGUUCAACCGAUAUAUAUACUUUCAUUGGCCGUCCUUGGAUUGGUGACACCAACACUGGUGGAUUUGAUACAUAUGUCUUUUGGCUUUCAAAAGCCUUUUGAUGCUCUUUUUUCAGACGAAUUCGUUCUGCUUUUUCAACAUUAAAAGUGGCGAAAAAGCUUUAGUUCGCCCUGCAUAGUUAGAAAUAAAGUGUCUUAAAAAGUUUACUUGGCCUAGAAACCUUUGCAAUUCUUUUUUAUUGCUAGGUGACUUGGCCUCUAAAAUGGUCUUCGCUUUAUUUUUAUCAAGUUCAAUCCCCCUUAUGUGUACUAAGAAACCAAGGAAAUUUCCUGCAUUAACACUAAAUGCACAUUUCAAGGGAUUCAAUUUUAGUUUAUAUUACUUCAUUCACUCAAAUGAACAUCUCAAUUGUUCAAAAUGGUCCUCUUCUUUACUGGAUUUGACCACUAUAUCAUCUACAUACACUUCAACAAACUUGCCUAUCAUAUCAUGAAAAAUCAAGUUCAUCGCCCUUUAAUAAGUUGCUCCUGCAUUUUUCAAGCGAAAAUGUAUAACUACCCAUUCAAAACAUCCUAGAGACUCACGGCAUCUAAAGGCAGUUUUGUGUAUAUCUUCCUCAACUAUAUAAAUUUGAUUCUAUCCUGAAUACCCAUCCAUGAAGGAAUACAUUACGUGUCCGGCAGUCGAGUCUACUAAAGAAUCUACCGUGGGUACUGGAUAUUCAUCUUUGGGUGUGACUAUAUUUAAAUUCCUAAAGUCUAUGCACACCCUUAAUUUACAAUUCUUUUUUAGUACUGGCACGAUAUUGGACAACCAUUCGACAUAUCUGGCUGUUCUAAUAAAGCAUGCUUUUAAUAAUCGCUCUAUUUCUUUCUUAAUCUCAGGGAGUACAUUAGGAGCAAAACGCCUAGGAGGUUGUUUAUGAGGUUUAAAAUUUGGCUUGGUUGGUAAUCUAUGUUCCACCAAACCUCUAUCUAAACCAGGCAUAUGUUCAUAUUCUCAAGCGAAACAAUUCUUAUAUUCUUUUAAUAAAGUGAUUAAUUUAUCAUUAACCUCUUGAUCGAGCAUCUGGCUAACGAAUAUUGGGCGAUCUUCUCCUUCAUUGUCAAUAUUCACUUUAAUUAGAGGUCCUGUGCUUGAGCGUAUCCAGACUUGGUGGUUCUCAUUACUUCAUCGUCCAAUUUCCUUAUAGGUACUUCUUCUUCUAAAUAAUCCACAUUGUUGACUUCUCGGCCAAUAUUUUGUUCCAACUUGAAAACUACCAAUUUGUCUCUCAAUGCUUCCAAGGUUGCUUCUUCUUUCAUCUUGUCCUUACAUUCUUUAUUGAAAGCCAUUAAUUUGGCUUUGAAGGCCUGAACAUCGGUCAUUUGCCUUUGUUGCUUACAACUCAUUUAAAACUCAUUGAUUACUCUUUUGCCAAUUACUGGCUCUUCUAGGGCCACUAUGUUUGGCUUCAUUUGACUGAACAUUUCAGUGAGUGCAUCUACCGAAAAUGGCUCUUCACUCUGUGCAAAUAUUUGAGUUUCUUCUCCAUCUUGGACUACUUUGAGAGGUCCAUAAUUUCCUUCGUACAUGAACCUUUCCACUGAGUUUGCUUCUGUGACAAAAGGCCUAUGAUCGGCCUGCACCACUUCUGUCUCACCCUUAUCAUUCCAAAAAAUCAGGCAUUGAUGGAGCGAUGAGGGUAUACAGCGACUUUCGUGUAUCCAAUCUCUUCCCAAUAACACAUUGUAACUAGUAGGACCAUCUAUUACAAAGAAGACUGUGGUCCUAGUAGUUGUCCCUAUAGUUAUGUCCAAUGGCAUAAUCCCUUUAGUUGAAGUUACUCCUCUAUUGAAACUUGUAAGGAUGACUUCCGUUGGAAUCAUAUCACAUUCUGUCUUUGUGAAUUUCCUCAUCAUCCUCGAUAGAAUGGUGUUUAUAGCUGCUCCAUUAUCAACAAGUACCUUUGCCAUAGGUAUGUCGUCAACUAAAGCUUUAACGUACAAUGGUCUCAAGUGUUUAGUUAACUUCAUGGCUGGUCUCUUAAAAAUAACCUUUUCGACAGCAUCUAUUUCUAUUUCCUGUUUGUCCUCUAUCGAGUUAUCCUUUUGUGAUAAGUCAACGUGCAGUAUGUCGCACUGAGCUUCUGUUUCUUGAAUUUCUUUUUUACUGUUUUCUAAUGCUUCUUCUUCGGUUAUCCAACCUGUGGGAGGAGGCAUUAUUCUUGGGGGUGAUCCAUACUUUUCAGAGCGAGGAACUCUCUUUUUCCUUUUGGGCGUCCCGUACAGCACGUAAUAAUCGAAAGAAUGCCCAGACGGUUCUCCCAACAAGUCCACUUCACGAACCCCCUCUCGAUGUAGUUGCUUUAACAGAGUAUUGUGCCAUACCCCUCUCUUUCUUCUUUCUACUUCUAGAUCAAUUUCCUCUUCGAUGUCCGUCAUACCAUCAUCCCCUUCAUCAUCGUAGGCCCCUCUAGAAGUUUGGUCUUCUUCACAUUCCAGUACACAUGCUUUUUCUUCGUUAUCCUCCAUUUCUUCUUCUUCUUCUUUAUCUUUGUUCUUGAACUCAUUGACUAGUAAGUAAUUAUUAGCCAUGACAGGAGGUAACGUAUCGAACUGAAUAGUAAGGAGUUGAUCUAGAUCUUCUCCAUCUCUUCUGUCUCGCUCAAACUUCGAUCUCCCAGAAGAAGUUUCUGGCAAUUCUUCCAUUGAUUCACCUGUACCAGUCUCUUCACUGUCUUUGAGAACAUUUUGAUUGGCUACCUCGAGUAGUUUAGGCGCUUUAGGACGUGGCAUUCCCUAUUGUUUCCUCAUUAUUCAUCCAUAGUUCCGUUGAAAACGCCUUUGUUGGGUUCUAGUCAUCUCGUUGAAGGGUAUCGCCCUUCCUGCAUUAUACUGGAACGAAUGCCAUACAUUUGGUUGGCGAGGUUGUGGCUGAAUGUUCUCCCAUUAUUUACUGGCCUGAACUGCCUCUCAAAAGGCGGUCUCCUAUAGAAUGAUGUACCUUGCCUUCUACCAGGUUGAGCGUUUGGGAAAAAACUAGGGCGAUGGUGAUGCUGCCAUAUCCUUGGUUUCUCUGUAUUUGCACCCACUUCUCUUUUGCAUCUUGCACACAUGACGUUUUCAUCCUUUUUGGGCUCCUUCCCUUUAAUACGUUCAAAGACACUGGGGUGUGACCCAUGGUCUUCUUCUCCAUCAUCUAUAACCAACUUGAAUUUUGACAACUUGUUUUUGAAACCAGUCGUCACCAUGUUCACCCCAAGUCGCUGUGGAAAAGGGUUUUCAUCCACUGCCAUUUUCUUCUUGUCCUCGAAUGUAAUUCGUCUUGAUUCAAUGGUAUCCUGUAACACAUGGCGAAAAACCAAACAGUUGUUAGUCAAAUGUGACAAUGCAUUAUGCCACUUACAAUAUUUUUUACCCUUAACUUGUUCAGGGCUUGGCAAUUUAUGUUUAUCGCUCAGCUUUAUCUACUUAUCCUUAUAUAGUUUAUCAAAUAUAAGGUCAGCUUUGGUUACAUCGAACGAGAACGUUCUAGCCUUUUUGUUUUCAUCUUUUAUAGGCUCAUCCUUGCCUGACGGUCUAGGUUUAACCAUUAUAGGACAAGUAUACGUAUCUUCUUUAAUUAAUUCGGCCAAACACAUUUCGGCUUGAUCGUAAUAUUCGUCAUUAAUGGCAUGAACAUCAAAAUUUGGGUCUCUAUAAUAAGUCUCCUUGCUAGAAUUUUUCAUUUGCUCUUCUUCUUUUAUUAAUCGUUCAUACCUAAUCACAAUUGCGCUCAAUUGAAAAAGAUCAGGAAAUUCAUUAUCUUGGAAUUUUUUUUUCAAAUCAAAGUUUAGACAAUUUUGAGCGAUUUUGACAAACUCCUUUUCGGGCAAAGGUACAAAACAUUUACUUCUUGCUGUCUUGAACCUUUGAAGGAAACCUUUUGCCCAUUCGUUUGGCAUUUGACGCAGACUUGCCAAAUCGGCCAAAGUAACUUCAGAUUCAGUCUUAUAAAACUGAGCAUGGAACAAUUGCUCCAAUUGUUGCCAUGUUUGAACAGAGUUCGCUGGCAAAUUGAUGAACCAGGAGAAAUUUUUUAAUUUUUUAAUUUUUUUAAAUCUUCUUUCGGCAGCGUCUUCAAGCCUCCUCUUCAUUUUCCUUUACAUUUUGCAUCUUUUCUCACCUAAAUUCCUUCAAAUCAUCAUUCAUUCUAGGGUUUUCACCUACACAAUAAAAACAAUUAAACUAAGUAAUAAACAGCUAAUAAAACUUACGAAUAUCUAAAUUUAAUAGUCCAAAUAAGUGCAAAAACCCGCACUAAAACCGAUUAGCACCAAACCUCAAACCCAUUCCAAACUGAACUGCAAAACGAAGUUGAAAAGAAGACCAAGUCGCACAACUUGAACAUGGCUACAAGAAUAACUCAUGGACAAGAACAUAGAGUUCUUCUACAAAACACGCUGGAGUGCUAAGAUGGAGAUUCGUGGGAUCUCAAUCGUGCCGUGAAUAAGAGUAGACCAGGGUAAUGAAAGUAGGCUGAAAACAUAAUGAAAGUGGGAUCUCAAUCAUAUUUUGGCGCACUCAUUUUUCUUUUGUUUGUUUUAAAAUCUCAACCGUCCACAGAUUUGAUUUCUAGCCAUACACGUCACUUUGUCAAAGGUCCAUGUAAUCCAACUUGGUACAAAUAGCAUUAUUCGAUGGCAAUAUAAUAUUAUUAUACACACAGUCCACAAAGGAAAUGAAAGGAGAAGGAUUUCACGCAUAUAGAGCAAAGAAAUUGGAUUUUUUGGUUUCCUUUAGGCACUAAAAGAUGGUUGGGAUUUAAAAAAAUGGGAAUUCCACGCAGAAAAGAGAGAUACGCACCGGUUUAAAAGAAAAAGAGAUAGAAUUACGCACUGCAAACAAAAAAAAUGAAAGAUGCAGAUGGACAGUAUAAGGGAAGAUGACAUAAAUCAAGCAAUUUGAAAAUAAUAACAGUCAGCCAACUCCAUCUAUACAAUCAGUGUGGGCUAGUAUCAUGAGAUUUAUUCUUUGUAAUGAGUGUAAAUCAGUGAUUUGUAAUUGUUAUCAUAAAAACUGUACAUUUCCUCAUAUACGAUGUAAAUUUUGUAUAAAGUAACCAGCAGGAUCAAUAGAAAUGUGUGUUCAAAAUUCUCAUUGAAAGUGCCUCAUGUCUUAUUUUCUUAUAUGGUAUUAGAGCCUGAAAUCUCUAACGAAAAACUUAAUCCCAAAUUAGCUGUGUCUUCCUCUACAGACACACCCUUUGUUGUUUCAACAUUACUGCGCAAAUGCAUGAGAAGAUUACACCAUCUACAUUUCCACAGUGGCGAGCUCAAUUUGAAGCCCUCUUAAUUGGGUAUGACUUGAUGUAUUAUGUAAAUGGAGAUACCGUAUGUCCAUUCUCCGAUGGCACCCCAUCCUUCCUUUAAAAAAAAUAAAAAUUACUGGGUUAGAUAAAACAAACUAAUCCUAAGUGCUAUCUUAGCAUCAACAUCUACAACAAUUACUCCACUCAUCGCCACUACCAAGACUUCACAGCAAGCUUGGAAAGAAUUAUCAACUCUGUACGCUAGUAAAUCGCGUACAGGGGCUAUGCAACUCAAGGAAGAACUCAUCUUGAUCCAGCAUGGGAAUCGAUUGAUUCCGAACUAUUUACAUGCUGUAAAAGCUCUCCCUGAUGAAAUUGCUCACAUUGAUCAUCCGAUUUCCGAUGAUGAUGUCACCUUUUACAUUCUCAGUGGAUUGGGACCUGAUUUUCAUAAAAUAGCUGCUCCCAUUCGGGCAAGGGAAAAAAUUCCUAUCUUUUGAGGAACUUCAUGAUCUACUAGUGGGGCAUGAAAGCUAUCUGAGAAGAAUGGAAGUUGUGACUCAACAGUUUGUAGCCGCUACAAACUUCACCAGUCGAAGAAAUGAAAGCUCUGAAGGACAUGAGUCGAAGGGCUUUAUCAAAAGGCUUCAACAAAUCAAAUGGGCAAUCAAAGUAGCAGGCCUUUUAUCUCCCAUCCAACAUAAAAGAUCAACAUAGGCCUAAUCAAAACUCAGGAGAUCCAAUAAAACCCAACGAUGCUUCCAGCCAAAGUGCUGGCUCUGUGAUCAGUUAUACCAUACUGCCAAGGCCUGCCCACAGUUAUAGCAAAAUGAAGUGACGGUAAACUGUGCUACUUCAUCAAAUACAAAUAAAAAAUAAUGGCUCAUUGAUUUGGCAGCCUCUCACAACAUCACGGGUGAUCUCACAAAUUUAUCUAUUUAUUCUGAAUAUGAUGGAAUUGACGAAGUUGUUCUUGGUAAUGGUACAUGUUUGACUGUCUCACACAUUGGUUCUCUAGCCUAACAUUCACCCUAAAAACUUUUUAUCUUGAGAGACACUCUUUGCGUUUUAAAUAUUCGUAAGAAUUUAAUUUAUUUUCAUCACUUUAAAAUACAUCGAAUUUCACCCAUUUCAUUUUCUUGUGAAAGAACAGAACACGGGGACGAUAUUGUUAAGAGGUGCAUGUGAGAAUGGUGUCUACGGGUUUCCCAAAUCAUCGGUGCCUUCAACUCAACAAAUGGUGGCUAAUGUGCAUGAAAGAACUAUUGAUGAAUGGCAUAAACAUCUUGGACACCCAUCCAUUAAAGUAGUUCAAAAUCUUGUUAGUCAAUUCUCUCUGCCGCUUACCACAAAAAAUUACCAUCUUCAUAGGCUUCUUGUUCUAUCAAUAAAGCACAUCAACAACCAUUUUGUUCAACGGGUUUUCAAAGUCAUGCUCCUCUUGAUAUUAUUUAUGCCGAUGUUUUGGACCUGCACACCAUAUUGGUCUUGUGGAUCUCGUUAUUAUCUUAAUUUUGUCGACCAUUAUACAAAAUACAUAUAGCUUUAUCCAAUGGUUACAAAAUCAAGCGCGUCUACUAUAUUUCCACAAUUCAAAAAAAUUGUUGAAACACACUUCAACUCUAACAUAAAGAGUUUGUAUUCAGCAAUGAUGGUGAAUUCAUAGGUUUAGGAACUAUCUUUCUUUACAUGGCAUAAGUCAUUACACUUCCGCACCAUAUACGUCCCAACAAAACUGUAUUUCUGAACGAUGUCAUCGUCACCUUUUGGAAAUGCACCUCACUCUUGUCCAUGAUGCUUUCCUACUACUUGAUUAUUGGCCCCAUGCAUUCCAAAUGACUGUAUAUCUAAUAUAUCGUUAACUCAAUCCAGUUCUUCAAAAUGAGUCACCAUUUGAGGCCUUUUUUGCACAAAAACCAAAUUAUCUCAAACUCAAGAAAUUUGGGUGUCUUUGUUAUCUUCUCACAAAGCCAUAUAAUACUCACAAACUACGUCCCAAAUCUAUUCCUUGCAUUUUUCUGGGAUAUUCACAAACUCAAAAUGCCUAUAAAUGUAAGGACCCAUCCACUAAAAGGCUAUACAUCUCAAGGCAUGUCCUAUUUGACAAGGUGAGAAGCCAAAUUAUAUAAAGAGGCCCAGAUCUAGUUGAAAGCCCAUUUAAACAUCUUUCUUCCUUCAGUGUUCCAUUUUAGCAAAUGUACUCCUCGCGAAACCCAGAUGCUCCAAGACUUGUGCAGCAUUUCCAUUCCUUCUUGUCGCAGCCGAUGAUUUUGAAAACACCUGUCACCAUUCAAGCAUCACUUCUAGGUAAUAUCUCCUCUCUCUUAGAUCCGGCAAUUCCAGAUUCCAAUGUCAACUUAGAAUUUGUUGAUGUAAAUUGGAGUGCUCCGAUGUCAAUUUCUACCCCCACUAUAUCGGCAAAACCACAAAAUACAUCUUCUCAAACUCACAUCAUGGGUACAAGGUCAAUGAAUAACAUCUUUAAACCCAAGCAAAUUCACACGGUCAUAAAACAUCCCAUACAACCCACCCUUGAGCCAAUGUGUAUAAGUCAAGCCAUAUCUCAUCCCCAAUGGCGUGAAGUCAUGUCCAAUGAGCUCACUGCUCUUAUGAGACAUGAUACUUGGGAUUUAGUCCCUCCACCCAAGAAUUGUAAUCCGGUUGAAUGUAAGUGUGUGUUUAGAAUCAAAAGAAAAUUUGAUGGAUCAAUUGAUCCGUUCAAAGAAAGACUUGUUGCAAAGGGAUGUCUGAUAGAUCAAUUAAACGUCCGGACUUGAUUAUAAAGAAACUUUUAGCCCUGUAGUUAAACUAGCCACAAUAAGGCCUAUUUUAAGCAUUGCUGUUGUCAAUGGAUGAGAACUCAGACAAAAUGGAUGUUAACAAUGCAUUCUCGCAUGGGAACUUGACUGAAAAUGUGUAUAUGAUGCAACCUCCCAAGUUUAAAGAUAUGUCAAAAGCUGAUCACGUGUAUAAGUUACGAAAAGCCAUUUAUGGCCUUAAGCAAGCCCCACAGGCUUGGUACUCAGCCCUGAAGAAUGCCUUAACUGAGCUUGGUUUUUAUAAUUCAAAAGCUAAUUCUUCAUUAUUCAUUUUCGACAAGAUUUAAUUACAUGCUAUUUUUUAGUGUAUAUCAAUGAUCUUGUUAUUAUGGGAGUGAUGAAAAAUUUGUGGCUCAUGUUAUUAAUAAACUUGGCAUUCAGUUUUCCUUGAAGACUUGGGCUUACUUCAUUUUUUUCUUAGGAGUGGAGGUAAUACCAACUUCUGCAGGUCUUUUCUUAUCACAACACAAAUACGUUCGUGAACUAUUGCAAACCACGAAUAUGAUUGGAGCAAAGGAUGUUUGUACACAUCUUUCCACUAUAAUGUCUCUUCAUUUAGUGGACAGCAUGGCUGCAGUGGAUAGUAUCGUGUUCAGGAGAGUGAUAGGUAGCUUGAUUGAAAUACCUAUCUUUGACACGCCCCAACAUUUUUUUUGUCAUCAACAAGCUAUCACAAUUCAUGCACAAGCUAACUACAGCCCAUUGGACAUCCACAAAGAGACUUCUUCGAUAUCUAAAAACAACAAUUUUUAUGGAAUUCAAAUUCAAAAAUUUGCAGCUCCAUUUCUUACAACCUACAACGAUGCCGACUGAGCUAGAAACAUAGAUGAUCGCACCCUGUACUUCAGCUUAUAUCACCUUUAUUGGUUCCAACCCAAUUUCUUGGAGAUCUAAGAAAUAAAGAGCAAUUGCACGCUCAACUAUGGAGGCUGAAUAUUGUGUCAUUGCUAAUGCAGUGGUUGAAACCAUGUGGUUAAAAGCUUUAUUUCAAGAACUUGGUUUUCCACUCAAAGGCAAACCCUCCAUUCUUUAUGAUAAUCUUGGUGCUACCCAUCUAAGUUUAAAUCCAGUACAACAUUCAAGAAUGAAAUACAUUCAAAUAGAUCUUCAUUUAGUGUGUGAUCUAGUUCAACAAGGUGAAAUACAUGUCCGACAUGUACGUACACAAGAUCAACUGGCUGACUUAAUGACCAAGCCUUUGUCAAAGCAACGAACAGAAAUUUUAAGAAACGAGAUUGGUCUUCUCGAUGGAAACUCAAUCUUGCGGGAGGCAUAUAAGGGAAGAUGACACAAAUCAAGCAAUUCAAAAAAACUAAUAGUCAGCCAAUCAGCGUGGGCUAGAAUCAUGGGAUUUAUUCUUUGUAAUGAGUGUAAAUCAGUGAUUUGUAACUGCUAUAAAAAAAGAUGUACAUUUCCUUAUCAUAAAAGCUGUACAUUUCCUUAGAUAGAAUGUAAAUUUUAUAUAAAGUUACUAGCAGGAUCAAUAGAAAUGUGUUUUCAAAAUCAUCAUUGAAAGUGCCUCGUGUCUUAUUUCCUUGUAGAUAGCAGCAUAAUUGGAGUAUUAAUUCCAUAUUUUUGUACAUAAUUCAUCAACGAUUUACGCAAGAGAUUUGAGAAUUAAUCACACUUAUCAAUUUAUCGAUGAUGUCAUUCUACUUUUAUUUAUUUAGUUUUGACGUUAUGCUAGGCUAAAUUAUUUUGUGCUAGGAUUACGAUGAAACUUAUAUCAGUGGCAGAGCUAGAAUAUUUUAUUUGAGUUGGCAAAAAUUAUAUGGCAAAAAUAAUUAUAAAUAAAAUAAAAUAGUAACACUACCUUACUAUAACUCUUCUCGACCUGUUCUCAUAUUUUGAAACGUCGUAUAGUUACAUCAUUAUCAAUUUUAAUAAAUACAUCCUUCUCAAUAUAGAGUGCUGGUCCUUGAUUUUCGAGACAUGAGGCGAACUUUAUAAAUUAGCCCCCCAAUGCAAUUAUAUAAUUCGACAAGGCUUCAUAAAUUGCUGAUAAAUUUGUAACCAGUGCUCCAUGGUUGCUUUAAACACCCUCUCAAGUGUUUUCAUCAUGCUGCACAAAACCAUGAAUAAGUAUCCAAACUAUAAAGAAAAUAUUAUAGCAAAAAUAAUCUAGAUUUUCUGUAUUUGUUAGAGAAUGACUUUGUAGUAUAACAAAGUUAACAAAAAUCUUAACUUCUUGUGACAAAAAAGCCCAAAAAAUUCCUUUGAUUUCUCGAGAAAAUAAUACCUUCUUGAAAAAUAAUCAACUUGUAUAAGUUAAAAUCAAAGAGCUUUUCACGAUCAAAUCACAUCACACACACAAUGUGCAAAAUGCAACAUUAACAUAAAAAAAUCUUCUUUCAUGUUUUACUCUUAUAGAUCUAACAAAACCCACAAGCACAGUAUACUACACACCCCAAAACUUUCACUAUAAUUGCAAAUACCCUUCCCAACACGAAAAAGUAUUAAUUCUUAUCUAUCGUAUAAACAUAAAAAAGUUUUUUUUUUUUUAAAUCCAAGUCUCAUAAAAUCCAAAAAUGGCGAAGCAUCAAGAAAAAAGAAAAAGGAAACCACACAUAUAUGACAAAGUGAUUUUUGUAUGUACAGUAUAUAGGGACGGACCCACCUUUGGCUCAGGCAGGGGGUAUUAAGGACCAUUAAGUUUGCUCAAGAAGAAUUUAUCCACUUUUCAGUUUAUAGAUUAGUUAGAAAAAUUUAAAUGCAUAUUGCGCAUGAUAAUAUAAAGUCGUCUCAGGUCCUGAAAACUCAAAGUUCGACUUAGAUUGAAUUUCGCCUGCACUGAGCAAUAUUCGUGGGUCCAUCCUUGACAGUAUAUACAUACUUUGCACUAUUGCAAAUGGCAAACUCAGGGUGGCCAGCAUAUACAAAUGACAUAUUUUGGAGAAGGGAGAAGAGAAAAGAGCAAGUGCCUUCUCUAGUAAAUUAUUCAUUUCUUUGUUUUUGUCUAAUUUUAUAAAAAUAAAAAUCAGAAAAUUUUGCAUGGCACACUUGUUAUUAGUAUAUAAUCAUAUAUAGCAUUAAUAUUCUCUAUAAUAAUUUUCCAAUAGUGUAGGAUUAUUUUCCUUAAUAAUUGGUUGUGUAAUUAUUACACAAUCUUUUCUUUUAAAUUAUUUUGUUUUACAGUUAUUUGUAGCCCUAUAAAUAGGGUCUUUUCCUUUGUAAUAUACACUAUAGUUUAUGAUACAAUUUAUUAUUUUGACAUGGUAUCAGAGUGGGUUUAAUUUUGGGUUAAAUUUGCAAGCUUUCGUUCUCUAGCGAGCGGCCUUGUGCCACUCGUCUGGUCAUAUUUCUUACUCCGUCCAGUCCUUUUCCUAGAAAAGAAUAUUAUUUUACCUUUGAAUUGAUUUCUUACUCCCCUUUUUCCUUAGAAAAUCUAUCAACCCUCUGUUGGAAAAAAUAAGUUAUAAAAACUUUCAGAUUAAAUAUUAAAAAAUUUCAGUUUUCAUUUUAAUUUUUAAUUUUUCAGUUUUGUGUUUAAUUUUAUGUUCAAUAAAAAAUUUAAUCCCAUUAUUAUAUUUGUAACGUAUGUUGAAUUUUAUUUAUUUUCAUAAUGAGAUGGUUGAAUUCUUCUACUAUAAAAAGGGGGUGGAUUUUAUAUUCUUUGACACAACUGAAAAGGCUAUAGUUCGACCCAACCAACACCUAGAGGGGGGAUGAAUAGGUGUCUAUGUGGAAUUUAACAAUUUAAUUAAGUUAUGCAACAAGUCAAAUAAAUUAAACGUUGUCCAGAUUCAUUCAUAUGAUUUAACUACCCAUAUUGAAUUGCCGGUUGAAUUGAAAUUGACAGAAAGCAAUAAAUAACACAAAAAUUGUUGACGGAGAAAACCCAACUGGGGAAAAACUCCUGGCACAAGCCAGUAGGGAUUUACUAUAAAAGACUCCAACUUACAGUACACUAGACAUGACUGUAUCUAACAACACUUUGAUCUCCUUACUGUAUCAACCAAAGCUUUCUUGAAUUCUGCAGAUCUGCGCCAAAAUCCCAGCCUUGUAUUUCUUCUAUUUCCCGUGAAUCAACAAGAACUCCAGUUCUUCAAUCAACCUCCUUCCCGGAUCUUCAAUCAACUGAUUUUCUGGAAGUAGUAAGGAUUUUUGAUAGGUGUUUUGUUUGAAAAGGUGCUUGGUGUUUUUUUUUCUUCAAUGAAUCAUAUGGUGAAGAGUUUUGCAAGUGAUCCUUUGGUGGAGAGGAAAAUAUUGUGCUAUGUGUUUUGCCAAAGGUUAAUGAAAAGCGUAAUUUUUGUUUAUAUAGUAGGUCGUUUUUGGUAGUAUGGAGCAUUUAAAAUUCGCGAGGAAGGAAAAUUACCAAACGCCGGAUGACACUGUUGCUCGAGCGAAGUGCCGGCGAAACUCUAGCGACGCACUCUCGCUCGAGCGAAGUGGUGGCGAAACUCCAGCGACGCAGGUUCUGUUAUUUAGGCUCGAGCGAGUUCAGGGCGAAACUCUAGCACCAAUCUUGCGCCGUUUUCAUCUUCAAAGCAUCCAACUUUACCCUAGACCUAUACAUUAAUUAUUGCAAAAUUGCAACACAAGUCCCUGAACUUUUAGACAUUGACAAAUUGGUCCUUGACUUUACAAACUCGACAAAUUAGUCCUUUUGGUCACAGAUUGCCAAUUACAACAUUUUCCUAACAACAACAAAAUCAAACACAAAAUACUCCCUACUUUCUUUUCAACUACUUUCUUCUCAUACUACUCUAUUGUCAUUUUAUCUCCUUCUCUAAACUUUUGGCAAUUGAUAAGGGCUUGUUCUUUCUCUCCCUGUGGUCAUGCCCAUAGAAGGAGAAUCAGCUGCGAGCUAUAAGGAUUUUAUCUUGGAACCGUACAGUGUCGAAAGUACCCGCACGAAAGAGAGCCACACAACUUUAGGAAAACGAUUAUCGCGACUCUCUUAUGCCAACUUUCCUAACUCUAUUAUCAUAUUUAUUUUAGGAAAAAUUGUAGCAGAGGCUCUAAACCUUUAAAACAUUAGUAGACUUUUCCCAAACCUUUAAUUUGUUAAACCGUCACCCCAAACCUUUCGAAACGUUGUGGCGGAGGCAUUUUUGGACGAUUUUUAUCCAAAUUUCUGUUAGUUGACUAAUAAUAUUGACUUUGACCAUAUUUUUAAUAAUUUUGAAAGGGUAAAAUAAUCACUUCUACUUAUUACAUUGAAAUAAGUGAGAAAUUAAAUUAGAAAAAAUAAGGAAAAAAAAUAGAGGCCAGUCGUCUUCUCCCUUCCUCCCACCUAUCCCCACCCCCACCAAUUACUGCCACCUCCAUCUCCGCCUCCGCCUCCACUUCUACCUUCCCUCUGUUCCUACACUUGAGAAUAGAAGUUCCAUAGCUGUAACAAUUGUGGAGUAUGUAAUAUAAUCUACUGAUGAUCAUAGUCCAAUGGAAGAAAAACUAGAUUCAAAUUCAAAAUUUCCAGUUUAGUAUCAUUUGAUUCUGUUCUUCAAUAGAAUCUCCCUCAACUCGAUGGUGUCAAUCUCUUUGGAUUGAUUUUUCGGCCUGUAAUAUCCGAUGACUGGAUUCGGCACCCUCGAGGUUUUGGUCGAUUUAUUUUAUUUGAUUCAUGCUUAUAAUUGAUAGUACAUUGCACAAAUCACGUUAAUUUUUACAACAAUCUAAUGUCGUGUAUGUGGUUUGUGUGAUAAUAAUUUUUGGUAGUUGCUAACAUACUCGUUGUUAUUAUGCUUCAAUUUUUUUAUUCUAUUAAAUUUGGAACCUUUUAUAAUUUUCAUUUUGAAACUUACUACGUAAAUUCUCAUUUUAGAAGCUCAUAGAAAUUUUAUUGAUUAAGUAUUGCGCUCUUCAAAAUUGCUUCAAUAUUUUUAAUUUUAAGCACUUAUUUCAUUUUGAUAACUCAGUGGAAAGCUUUGAAAACUUAUAUUAGUUACUUGAUUGAUUGACUUGAACGUUUAAUAUAAAAUUAAUUGUGACUGUCAUUUUAUAGUUCAAUAUUCGUCUAAUUUAUUAUAUUGUUACUUGGAAUAUUUGAAUUGAUAUUGUCAAGUUUUAAAUAGUUGACUUAAUUGAAAAAAAUUAUUGUUGGUAUUAUUCAGUGACAGAUUUAUAUAUAUUUACAGUUACUUUUCUUUGCCUUAGUAAUUUGUAGUGUAAGAAUGACAUCUCUUGAAGAUACUAAUAGUGCUAAACCAGAAAACUUCGAUGGAAAAAAUUUUAAAAGAUGGAAAAAAACAAAUGGAAUAUUGGUUGACCUUUUUAGGGUUAAUUUCUGCUCUAAAAGAAGAUAAUGAAAGUAGAGAGUCUACCUCUUGGUAUAGCCCAGAACAAAUUGAAUUUCAUUGUCAUAAUCAAAUUUUAAGUGCUCUUUCUGAUAGACUUUAUGAUAUUUCAAAAUGUCAAGAGUGCUAAAGAUCUUUGGAAAACAUUAGAGGAAGAAUAUGGAAUUGAUGAUAAUGGAGUUGAUAGAUUUAACGCGUCAACCUUUAACAAAUAUGUUAUAGUGGACGAAAAAUCUAUAAACGAACAAAUCCAUUGAUUUAAAGAUUUACCAUGACAUGUAGAAGAAAUAGGGUCAAGUUUUAGUGAGGACUAUGAGGUUUCAUGCCUUAUAGAUUAACUUCCACCUUCUUGAUCAGACUUUGCUAAAAGUCUUAGACAUAAGCAAGGGAUUUUAACUGUGAACCAAGUAUUCAAUUCCUUGAGAAUAGAAUAACAUCAUAGAAAUCGUAUCAACAAAGCUGAUGAAUCACAUGCCAAGGCAAACUUGGUAGAAAAUUUAAAAAAUCCUACUUUCUCCUCAAAGCAAUUUAAGACUUAGGGUAAUAAGUUUAAGAAAAACUUUCACUAUUAUCGAAAAAAUUUCCAACCUAAGAAUAACAAUGGCAAAGAGAAGAAUGAGCAAGGGCCAUGUUAUGUAUGUAGAAGAACAAACCAUAUUGCUCGAGAUUGCUACUACAAAAAGACAAAGGAGUACAAGCUUAAGGACAAAUUUCAAAAGGAUCAAGUAAACAUGUUGAAGGAUGGUGGACAUUCUAUUAAGUGUGACUCAUCAACAUCUUUAGUCAAUUUUACUUUUAAUAGUAAUGAAUGGUGGUUAGAUUCUAGAGCAAAUGUUCGUGUUUGUUUUAAUAAGACUUUGUUUAAAUCUUAUCGGACUUCAAGCGAAGGAAGCGUAAUUUUGGGAAAUUACUCCAUUGUACUUGUAUUGGGAAUUGGAAGUGUGGAGCUUAAGAUGACCUCCGGGAAAAGUUUAAUUUUAGAUCAAGUUCGCCAUGUCCCAGAAGUUAGAAGAAAUUUAGUUAGUGGGUCACUUUUAGUUCAACAAGGUUUUAAACUUGUAAUGGAGUCAAAUAAGGAUGUUAUAACAAAAAAUAAUGUUUUGUUGGGAAAGGUUAUAUUAGUGAUGGAUUGUUUAAAUUGAAUAUUAUUGAAAAUCUUUAUCGUGAUUCUUCCAUAAUUCUUAAUAUGGAAAUUAGUUACUUGUGGUAUGAACGAUUGGGUCCUGUUGGUAAGAUAAAGAUCAAGAAACUUAUGGAUCUAAACUUGAUCCCAAAAUUUCAAAUUGGUAAUAAUAAGUGUGAAGUUUGUGUACAAGCCAAACAAACUAAGAGACCUUUUAAAUCAGUUAGAAGGGACACAAACCUUUUAGAAUUGAUUCAUAGUGAUGUUUGUGAUUCUAAUAGAUAGCAAACAGGAGUUGGUAAUAAAUAUUUUGUAACAUUUAUAGAUGAUUAUUCUAAAUAUUGCUAUAUUUAUUUAUUGAAAGUGAAGGAGAUGAUUAUUUUGAUACAUAUUCUCCUGUUGCUAGAAUUACUACUAUUAGAACAUUAUUAGCAUUGAGUAGUAUUCAUAAAUUGAUCAUUCAUCAAAUGGACGUUAAGACUGCAUUUUUUAAUGGUGAUUUUAAUGAAUAAAUAUAUAUGAAACAACCAAAAGGAUUUAAAGUCAAAGGACAAGAACAUAGAGUAUGUAAGUUAAUGAAGUCAUUAUAUGGACUAAAACAAGCACCUAAACAGUGGCAUGAGAAGUUUAAUAGAGUUAUACUAAAUUAUGGAUUUAGAAUUAAUACACAUGACAAGUGUGUAUAUUGCAAAGAAGAUAACAGUGUGCAUGUGAUACUUUGUUUAUAUGUAGAUGAUAUAUUAAUAUUUGGGACAAAUUUAGGAUUUGUUAAUGAUGUAUUUUGUCAAAGAAUUUUGAAAUGAAAGAUUCGGGAGAAGCUCAUAUAAUUUUGGGAAUGAAGUUAAGGAAAACUUCUAAAGGAAUUUUACUAAAUCAAUCUAAUGCUAUUAAAAAGAUGUUUGAAAAUUUUGGACAUUAUGACAAUAAACCAGUUUCCACUCCAUAUGAUUCAAAUGUACACUUGAAGAAGAAUUUAGGUGAACCAGUUUCGCAAUUUGAGUAUUCUCAAAUUAUUGGAUCCUUGUUGUACAUAGCAAAUAGGACAAGACCUGAUAUAGCCUUUGCUAUUGGGAGAUUUAGUAGAUAUACUAACAAUCCAAAUAAAGAACAUUAGAAUACUCUAGAGAGAGUGCUUAAAUAUCUCCAAGGUAUAUUAGAUUAUUCUAUAAAAACUGGAUAACUAAUAAUGUAGAUAUUAAGCCUACCACUGGAUAUACCACUAGAUAUGUAUUUAUGCUGGGUGAUGGGGCCAUGUCCUGGGGUUCAAAAAGACAAACGAUUAUCUCUAGGAGUACAUUGAUACAACAUGUACUAAUACUGAGUGGCUUAGAGAUUUAUUAUUAGAUAUAUCAUUAAUAAGUAAGCCAAUUCUAGUUAUUUCAAUACAUUGUGAUUGUAAAUAGAGCUUGUAAAUCAAUCUAACCCAAAUAAGAAGAUGAAUAGGCAUAUUCAAGCAAGACUUAAGUCAGUUAAGGCCUUACUUAAGAGAAUGAGAUUUCUUUCAAUUUCGUGAGAUCUGAAAAGAAUUUGUCAGAUAACUUAACUAAAGCUUUACCUAAAAAAGGUGUUAAUGAAUCAUCGAGAGGGAUGGGCUUAAACCCGUAAGGGAGUCAUCUCUGGGAGUAACUCAAGCUUUGUGAUUGGAGAUCCCAUAAAAAAAAGUUCAAUAUGGUAGGAGCAACCCGUACUACAUGACUCGUAAUAGCAUUAUAUUUUAUGUUCAUCCCUAUGGUGAUAGUGUUGUGAUUGUGAUAUUAGGAAGGGUUUACCCUAAAUGAGUACUGAGGUGGGAAUUCUUCCAAGGUGUGGGUCAUAUGCACCCUUGGAGGACUCACUUAUGUAAGAGUUGUCAUGAGGUCAUGACUAUGGGAUUGAGCUAUUUCCUAGAGACUCUUACUAGAAUCAAGAUAAGAGCGCAUGACCAUUAAUAGCCUACUCACUAUGAACCAAGCCUAAAUUGAUACUGUGUGUGGAGCAAUUGAAGUUUGGUCAAAGAGACAUAAUUUAAGGCUUAGUCCAUUAUGGCUACCUCAGAUGGAAAUUGUUAUCACUAAGUGAAGUUCAAGUCCAAAAUACACCUACACCUAUUAUACAUUAUAAUAUUGCCACUAUGUGCAUAUAUAAUUAUUUUGAAAGUUUUAAAACUUGUGGGCGAUUGUUGGAAAAAAUAAGUUAUUAAAAAAUUUCACUUUUCAUUUUAAUUUUUAAGCUUUCAAUUUUAAUUUUUUAAUUUUUCAAUUUUGUGUUUAAUUUUAUAUUCAAUACAAAAUUUAAUUCCAUUAUUAUAUUUGUAACAGAUGUUGAAUUUUAUUAAUUUUCAUAAUGAGAUGGUUGACUUCUUCUACUAUAAAAAGGGGUGGAUUUCACAUUCUUUGAUACAACAAAAUCAAACACAAAAUACUCUCUACUUUCUUUUCAUACUACUUUCUUCUCAUACUACUCUCUUGUCAUUUUAUCUUCUUUUAUAAACUUUUGGCAAUUGAUAAGGACUUGUUCUUUCCCUCCUUGUGGUCAUGCCCAUAGAAGGAGAAUCGGCUGCAAACUAUAAGGGUUUUAUCUUCGAGCAGUGCAAUGCCAAAAGUAACCACACGAAUGGGAGGCCACACGACUUUAGGACAAUGAUUAUCGCGACUCUCUUAGGCCAGCUUUUCUAACUAUAUUCUCAUAUUUAUUUUAUUUGAUUCAUGCCUAAAAUUGAUAGUUCAUUACACAAAUCACGUUAAUUUUUACAAUACCCUCAUCGUCAAGAAUUGUUUACAAAUAUUUUCAUCUUGCUGCAUAUAAGCCCUCAUCAGAUAACCUAUUAACCGUGCAAAUUCUCACGUUUCGUGCAUGGCUAAUUUCUGCAAGAACCCAUCUCUCUUCAUUGCCUAAUAUAACGAGAAUUUUCGACAGACUAUACCCAGAUGCCAAAUUUUCUUCAAACAAAGAUUUUGAUGGGGUCAGAUGCUUUUCGUUAAAGAAUGAAAUGGGUUUCAAGAAUUUGGUAAAAGAUGCAUUGAAAAUUCCAGUCGUGGCGAUUAAGGACACUUUUCUGUGGUAGAAAGAAGCCUUCUGGAAUAAAAAAUUAUCUGGUGUUGCUGGGUCCAGGUUCUCUUUCUUCAUGUUUGCUUAUGAUAUGUAAUUACUGGGAUGAAGAGCAUGACUCUUUAGUUCAACCAUAAUCAGUGUAGUAUCCUUAGUAAUUCUACUAUGUCAACCGUCAACCACCAACAAGCAAUUGGAUUUCUUGCAAGAUUUUUACAGCUUACUGAAGUAACUGUUUAGUUUAAUUGUUGGCAAUUAUUCUUGUUGUUGCUAUUUAUUUUUCACUUGACGAGUUCGAUGACAGUUUUUCGAGUCGGCUUGGUACGGUGAACGUGGACUGAAAUUCUGGUGUCGUGAGUAUGAAGUGUUGUGGUGGAAAUCUUGGGACGUUCUUCCAUUAGACGUUAUCUUAGGCUACAUCAGUAAAGUUUUACUGCUGGGUUUUGAGUUCAGUGGUCAGAGUUGUGAAAUUCAUCGGCGCCGCUCAGUCUGGUUUCUUUCGAGGUGUGGUCGACGGCAUGGAGUGUCGGUUGUUGAUGCUGUAGGGCCUAUGGUUGAAGCUGAAUGGGUAUUUUGUGAUAGUGGGCUGAAGUUUGUUAACUAUUUAUUUGGGUAACUUGGGAAAAUUACAAAAUUCCAGAUGUUUAAAGAUUAGAUUUCAAACAUUAGGGGUGAAGUUUUAUUGUGCAUAAAUCAGGUAUCAAAAGAAUAAAACCCUAAUUCAUUCAUUUGCCCAACUCUCUCUCUCUAUCCCCCCACCAUCUCUCUUCCCUUCUAUCUCUCUUCCUCGGCAGUUCGAUACCACACUAAAUCUGGCAACGCAGAGGCGCAACCGGCGUUUCACUUAAAAACACACACUAUAUACUGAAGAACCAACAGUAACAUAUCACAUUACUAAAUCACCAAAGACCACAUUUGAAACAAAAUGCAUAAUACUAUCCAUCCGUCCACAAGUACUAAAAGCUAAUGACAUGAGAGAAGCAAUACCAUGGAGAAAUUUAUUUCUUUAACACAGAACAACUCCACAAUUUUUAUAGCGCAAAAGAGAAGUAAUUUCCAACAUGAUUGAUCAAUUAGGGGCACAAAUGCACCCCCAAAACAUUUCGUCUACCCAUGCCUAUAUAGGACGUCUAGAGAGCCAGCGAUGGAUCAUUGCUAGACAUUCUUCAGGCUUAUUCAUUGAUGCUGAAUGUCCAGCACCCUGCCAAAUAAAAACAUACACUUUUAUUUCUUUUUCUUCAAAUCAUUAUAAGAAAUGACACAAUCCAAACUUUUCUUGCCUUGAUUGUUACAAAUGUGAGAUCAAAGUCAUUCUUCUUGUACUUCUCUGUAUAUCUACAAGGGGUAAAGUAGGUUGCAAUUUUGAGAAGAAGAAGGAGAAGAAGAGCAACAGCAGUAGCAACAACAACAACAACAAAAAUAAUAACAACAAUAAUAAUAAAGAACAAAAAAAUACCCUGCGACUUGGCCAUUAACAAGCCAAGCUCUCCAAUCAUCAUCAAUAGUCAGAUUGAGAAUGCGAAUCCAUUUUAAAGGGCCCAUAUAUGGUGCAGCCAUGUCAUGAUCACCACUAGAAAGAAAAGAAGAAUAAUUAGACAACAUAUGUCUAAUUAAAAUAUUUAUAGUAAUGUUUUUGUUUAGCUCUAUACAAUAAUUUUAAACCAACAUGUGUGUGUGUGUAGUUGAUCGAUUAGAUUAAACUUUGAACAAAUUAAGUCAUGAUUUCUGUUUAAGACAAACUAUUAUUGCUUACUUGAACACCAAAGCAUGGUAUCCUUUCUUGAUCAAAAUUUUAUGAUAUUCAAGAGCGCUUUCUACAUUCUGUUUAUAAUAUAUUCCACCAUUGCAUGUUUUCCACCUUGUUAUCGUUCCCUAAUUAACAAAUAUAACAAGGUUAUUGUAAACAUCUUGAUCAUAUAUACUGAUUUUUGUUGACAACUGGCACAUGGUACCACAUACUAAAUCUUUAAUUCUUUUCAAUUACACGUACCUUUCUAAUAUGAAGAGCUUCUUGAACAAUCGGAGCAUUUGCCCAUUCAUUGGUUAUUGCAUAGUCUUGAUUCUGUACAAAAGAAACGUUUUGUGAGAAACUGAGCAUGCACGGCUGAGAUUUAAAAAAUAAAAAUAAAAGAAUUACUUUAAGUUUCUUUUCUAUCAAAAAUAAUUUUUUAAAGUUCUUUCGUCAGCGAAAAAGUCUUGACUUAAUUUGUAAAAAAUAAAUUUUUGUACAAAUAUAUACAUGGAGGAUUAAUUAAGUUACCAGACACUCUUGUUCUCCUGUCGGGAGGAUGAGAUGGUCAUUUGAAUUGUCUUUCGAAAAUGUUUGAUGCCAUCCAAAAUCAUCUUGUUUUGAUGCUCCGUCUCCGCAAUUUGGUUCCAAAAUAUUAAUUUGUUUUAUGUGACUUAAACACUGAAAUAUUUAAUGUUUACAACCAUAAUAAAUGUUAAAGGAAAUGAAAAAUAGAAUAAAAUAAAAUAAGAUACACAAUGUCACCUUUUGGAUCCGUUGAAGGGCAUAUGCACAUUGCACAUUAUUUGGAUCACGAUUGUAAUAUUUUCCCGCACAACUAAUUUUUGCUAACUGAAAUUGUGUUAAGUAAUUACAUGGGAAUAAGAUGCAAUAUGCUGCAUUUUAUAAUCAAAAUAAUUGAAUAAAAAAGAUUACCUCAAAAUAUUCAUCGGAUAUAAGCGACAUGCGAUGAGCAUACGGAAUUCGUGCAUUAAAAUCAAUUAUUGGAUCCGUUAAUCCAUUGCCAAUAAUGUAUCCCUGUUUCCAUUUCAAAAGUACUCGACCAUUAAAGCAAAAUAUACAAUUUAUAGUCGUGGCAAAUAAAUAAGAAGAAAUUCAUAUAUUUGUGUGAACUAAUCAUUACUUGAAAGGACAUCUGUGGCUGAAGUCUUGCUUCAUUUCCUACAUUACAAUCAAGAUUAACAAUUAGUCAAGCUUCAUUGGUGGAUAAUAAAACAUGGAACUAGAAUCUUAUAAGUUUCUCUUUUCAUUUUUUGUAUAUAUUACCUCGUACUAUUUCCAUGACAACCAUAGGAACAAGUUUGCCUCCAUAGGAUUCACCCACAAUAUAUAGACGAUUUUUGAGAAACAUAGAAUGAUUCAAUAACCACUGCAUUACAUUCUUAUUAAUAUAUUGUUAGGUCACUAAACUAAAAAAAGUGGGGGAGUGCUAUAGGCGUGAAUGUGUAAGACUACUAGUAAGUUCCAAGUAAAACAUCAUUUCUAUUGCCUCAAUUUCUAUCUAGGAAUGAAAUAUCUAUGAUAAAUAAUGUCUACUGGCCUUUCUAAGAAAUGUGAAAAUAUCUUUUGCCGAUUUAAUGUCCGAGGAAAAGGAACCCUGUGAAGUGUUUGCAUAUGAAAAUCCGGUACCAACAGGCGCAUCUAUGAAUAUAAUAUUGGCAACCU